rnacentral:lncRNA from 1 species
AGCGGCAUGGGAGCAAAAGAGCUUUUGGUUUGAUGAAGACUAACGGGUGGAUGAACAGGAAGUCCGAAGUGAAGGUCUCUGUUUGAUUCAAUACUUUUGGUGCAAGACUGAAGAGUUGAAGAACAGGAAGUCUGAAUUGAACUUUCUGUUUGUAUUUUGGGGUCGGCAUAAUUGAACUUCGAAUGUCGUGUUAAAUUCAUUGUGGACUGUAAUUCUGAACCGUUAUGGGUGUUCGUUUCGACUCUUGGUAGAACUAUUAAGUCGCAUGUUACUCUUAGUAUCUGAACUAUCAAGUCACAUGUUAAUCUGGACUAUCAUGUUGCUUUUCUAAGGUUGCUGCUCUCUGAAUUGAUCCACUAUGCUAUUGCCUGAAUGGUUGCAACUGGAGUGUUGAUGUUCAGUCUGAUACGUAGUGAUUUGAUGAAUAGAUUCAGCUGUUUGAUUUUUACAUGCAUAUUUUGCUAAAAGUUCUGAAUACUCAUCUGUUGUUCUAUUGUAUUUCAAAAUUUUAGGCAAAUUUCGCCCAUUUUUCGUCCCAAAAUUCAAAUUUUGUUUUACGAUUUUCGUUCGAGAUUUUCCGAAAAAAUCUGAAAAAUCUGAAUUUCGCCCAUUUCGCCCAGGACCGGUAAAAAUCAAAAAACGAAAUCCGAAAUUCUGGCCACCGCAUGCUUCACCCAUCGUUGGAGCCACGAACGGCCGGACCGCUUGCAAUGGUGGGUGGUGGGGAGCGAUGAUGCCGCCGGAGCCGGCCGAUACUGGGUCGACGGUUGACAAAGAAGAACACCGCAAGCACUUGUGCGGAAGUGCGUUGCCCCGCGGACGGGGAGGGCCUCGACGUUGAGGGGAGCCUCCUGGAGCCAGGUGGAGUCGUCGGCGACAAAAACAACCGUGCCGAGACGGAUCUUGCGGCCCAACGCCAAACCACCGUCGGAAACCAUGUUGUCGGAGAAUGAAAUAUGCAACCUCACCAGAAGUCGCUUAGAUGCCUGCCCCACGGUGGGCGCCAACUGUCGUGGGAGUAAGUCCGACAUUAAGAAUAGGGGGUACAUAGGAGGAGGCAAGGUCCUAGCUACGGUGACACGCAAGUUUACGAGUUCAGGCCCCUCUCGGAGGAGGUAAAAGCCCUACGUCUCGGUGCCCUGAGGCUUUGUUGACUGGAUUAUGCGUGGAUGUUACAAGGGGUGCAAACCCUUGUGCCAGAGGAGGAGGGUGGCUUAUAUAGAGUGCGCCAGGACCCUCGUAGACCUCCGAUACACAGGGUUCAAUGUGAGUUAAGAUAUGGGCAUUACUGGUAACGCCAACAAUUAAUGAUCUUUAGGUCUACAGAGUGAACGUAUGACCGUUGCCAUCUUGGGGUGGCUUUAGAUUCUCUGUACUCCGAGUGGUUUUACAUAUGGUCGAGUGACUAUGCUGUGGUCGAGUGGAAUCGGGAUAUCCGAGUGGAGUCUUCUGUCGAGUGGAUUGCACUUCAAGGUGACUCCAGUCGGUACUUUCUGUUGGUCCUUAAAUGUCUUUGACUAUAGGGCAGUGUCCUUGGGUGGGGUGUCUAGGUCAGGCCUAAGACCCUGCCCUAGGUACAUGUCCUUGUCACCCACCCUCUAUAUCAUCCCCUUUUUAACAAGCUUCAAACCAUACUUAAUUCCUUUCCACACCACAGAAUUAUUACCAGAAAACAAUGUGUCUAGAAUACUACCAUUAGUAAAAUAUUUUGUCUUUAGUAGCCGUGCACGUAAGCUAACUCGGUUAUCAAUCAAAUGUUGAGCCUGUUUUGCCAACAGGGCCUGGUUAAAAUCACGCAUAUCGCAAAAACCCAUGCCCUCUUUGUACUUUGGUAGCAUCAUCUUUAUCUUUUUCUUAGGGACCCUGAUAACUACCACAUGUGUGGCACAAACAAACACAUUGCAAUUUCAAAAGUUUUUUAUGGAAAAUUUAGUGAUGCGAGGAUGACAACUUCUUUUCAGAUGUCAAGUUUCAUUUUUGGGGUUUGUUUUUUCUUUUUGGAUGGCAACUUAGUUGUAGAAAAACGUUAAGGCUGGAGUGCUUCAUGGCACACAUGUGGCACUUAUCAUUUGGGUUUCUUAGGGACAAUAAUCUCUAUCUUUUUUAUGUGUGUGUGUGUGAGUGCUAGUAAUCUAUAUCUCCACAAGACACGGAUUGGAGAUUAUAAUAGAAUUGCUAUAUCUCUAUAGGAUAUGGGAGUAAUCUCUAUAUCUCUACAUGACGUGGCAGUAAUCUUUAUAUCUCUACAGGAUGUGGGAAGGGCUAUAAUAGAAUCUAAUCUUGCUAUACAAAAGUAAAAAAAACUUGAACCACUGGAUGAAGAUGAAUGGUAAAGAUUUAGGUGGAGGGACGACAGACCAUUUAAUGUACAUUUCAUGACAAAAACCCACAAAGAGUUAGAUGGGAAAUAGGACAUUUACAGUAUACACCUCGAGUCUUUGUGAAAUAUACACCUCGAGUCUUCGUGAAAUAUGACCAUUUUUGGAUAUGUAAAGUGUUGAUGGCCAUCUCCUCUUAGUUUGAUAUAAAAUCUUUGCAAAUAUUUACUGCAUGAAAUCCAUACACAUUUAAGUGUCUUUUUUUUGCCUCGGAGACAUCGCUAAUUUUUCAAGAGUUUACAAGAACAUCUUGGUCACUAAAAAUGCCAAUAUGCAACAAAUAUUUUAGCACAUGAGAGAAUUAACUCAUGCUGGAUCAAACAGAACUACAAGUAGAUGUCAGACUAGAAGUAUUUGAGCGCAUGAGCAAAUUAAGGGCUAAAAUUAUCACCACUCAGCAAGCAUUCGAGUAUUUGAGUACAUGAGAACAUAACACAAGAGGCAUAUAUAGAUCAUUUUUACUACAUGGCCAGCAAGACCAAGUACUCAAAACUGAAAUUAACACCACCCAACAAGCAUCUUCAUGGUACAUGACAAAGAAGGUCUAUCAUUUUUCCUCAUGUUUUAGUGCUUCUCGGUAAUCAAGCUUCAUCUACCCAACCUUCAUGGACUCUUAUACACUUGAUCGACCUAGGUAAGUACACUAAAUAAAUAGGUGACAACUAGAAAUAUAUACCAAAUAGCAUAUCUUGAGAAGAGAGGCAUCAUUAUGUCCAGUUUCAUUCGCUGCUCCAACCUAGAAUACAUAACCUAGAUGUCAAACUUAGAAUGAAAUUCCUCAACCAUAUUAAUACGCAUGUGUAUUCAGUUAUGGGAUCUCAUUUUGUCACAAGCAAAAACAUAGUUUCAGACAAACUAAAUACAAUUACUACUCCCCAUAUGGACUGCCCAUUUAAAGCGAGUAUUACAAGCUGCGACAAGUGAUAUAACACAACAGGACCUAGUAGUUUUUACCCUAAACAUGGGCAUAUCUUCGUUGUUAAGUUUUAGCCUAUUUGUUUAUCACCUAAGGUUUGGCAUGGACAUGUGAUAUAUGAUGAGGAAGGUUUUCUAGUAGAUUGAUGUACAUCUGCAUAGUUUUCACCUAAUGUUUGGUAACCAAUCCCCGUCUACGAGCAUGACUAAGAAAUAAAUGAGCAUAACGUAUAUUCCCGGGGUGAUCAAAGGUAACAGGUUCCUACCUCAAGUACUACAACCAAAACACAUGUUCCCAAUCCUACUCAUGUAAAUCUUUGAGGGGUAAAACUAAUGCAUAGUAAAAACUGGGUAUUGAAAAGUAUGAUCAAAGUGUGACUUGCCUUGCUGCAAUCGGAAAACUCUAGAGAUUCGUAGUAACAAGUUUCACACUCCGGAAAAUCUAGCAUAGACAAACAAUAGCAUACAUAAGCACUCAAGCAAGCGAUGCAAAGAGAAAUCGAAGAAAAGAUCCAAAGAACUCAAAAACAAGCAAAUAACUAAGCUAACAGAAAAAAUUCUAAUAGCAUUAUAUUUAUGUGGAUUAGAUCUUAAUAUAAGGUACAUGUGAUUAGAUAUGAUUUGCAAAAAGAAUCAACUCAAACGGAGCUACGAAACUCAAGAUACGAUCAAAACAAGAUCAAAUUCAAAUCUGAACUAAAAUUAAAUUUUAAAUUGUCAAAAACAUGUUCAAGUUAGUUUCAUGGAUAGAUGGGAUCACUCUAAAGAUUUUGGCGUUGGUUUCGUCGAAUUUGGACAAACGAGCAAAAAGUAAUGAGGGUUUAAAGAUCAGGGGCUAAUCUGCAAAGAAAAUAUUUGCGGAUAAGUCCCUGGCCGAAAACUAAAAUAAGAAGAAAAAAACUACCAAAUGAACGUUUGCUACAGAACCUAAUCUAAUGAAUCUGUUCAUUACAGAACCUAAACGAAUGAACAUUCGCUAAAUAACCGAACUAAAUAAAAUAAACUGGAUUUAACAGAAAAACCGAAAAAACCGGAUCGGACCGAGGUGGUUUUAUACCAGUUCACGGCGGCGGACUCGACGGCGGCGGCGACGGGGCUCGGGUUCGGCGGUGCAGUGGCGGCGGGCUCAGGCGACGGCAGCUUUCGGCGGCGGCGGCGGUGGCGGGGUGCGGUGGGAAGUNNNNNNNNNNNNNNNNNNNNNNNNNNNNNNNNNNNNNNNNNNNNNNNNNNNNNNNNNNNNNNNNNNNNNNNNNNNNNNNNNNNNNNNNNNNNNNNNNNNNNNNNNNNNNNNNNNNNNNNNNNNNNNNNNNNNNNNNNNNNNNNNNNNNNNNNNNNNNNNNNNNNNNNNNNNNNNNNNNNNNNNNNNNNNNNNNNNNNNNNNNNNNNNNNNNNNNNNNNNNNNNNNNNNNNNNNNNNNNNNNNNNNNNNNNNNNNNNNNNNNNNNNNNNNNNNNNNNNNNNNNNNNGUGGGAAGUGCGGCGCUCGGCGGGGCUUGCGGGCGGCGCGGGCAGCGAGUGCUGCGGGCGUCGGCGGAAAGUGCGGUGGCGCCGGCGCGGCUUGUGACGAGGAGAGAGGGGCCGAGGUCCUCCCUAUUUAAAGGGGGUCAUGGGGUGCGGGCGGCUUGGGAAGGGGGCAAGCGGGGCGGCGGUUGUCUCGGAAUCUGGCGGCGGCAUCGUCGUGGCGUGGCCGAACUCCUAGCCGGAGUCGAUCGCAUGGUGCGGGAGGAGCUGGGCCUUGGCCUGGCGGCUAGCUGGACCGGCCUAGUUCGGCAGGAAGUUUUUUUUAAAACAAUUUUUUCAGAGACAUAAACACGCUAAACAAAUAUAAAUAAAAUCCAAAAAAUACCUGAAAAAUUCACGUUGUAAUAUGGCCUUAUUAUUGACCUAGUGAACAUUUUUCUAGGCCAAAAUGCCUAAACUAAAAACAAACAUUAUAGUACUAAUUACUCCGCUAACAAAAUAGAUAAACUAGUGAAUAAAAUCAAAUAAAAUCUCCAAAAAUUCGAAAUUCAACUUCCAUAUUUCUUUGAUGAUUUUGAAGAAGUCCUUUUAUCUUCUCUCUUUAUUUUAAAAAUAAUUGGAAAAGAAUUUUGAAAAACAAUUUGAUCCAAUUACCAAAUUUUGAAAACGUCCAACUCUCUCAAAUUGGUCCUUGAGUUGCUUAAGGUCUCUUGGAUCAAAAUGCAACUAAAACAAAGCAACAAAAUGCAUAAAUCAUGGAUGCAUAAGAAUGGUCUAUGAAUAACAUCCAAAUUGAAAACUGGGAUGGUACAAAUAUACCCCCUUAAGAUGAAUCUCGCCCUCGAGAUUCGGGUUGGUCAGCAAAAAGGUGUGGAUGGUCCUUGCGGAGGUCUUCCUCGCGCUCCCAGGUAUCUUCCUCCUUGGUAUGGUGGCUCCACUAAACUUUGUGAAACUUGAUGACUUUCCUGUGAGUAACUCGGCUGGAAAACUCGAGAAUCUUAAUGGGUUUCUCUUCAUAGGUUAGAUCACUAUCCAACUGAAUCGCUUCCAGUGGCACUGUAUCGCUCAGAGGAAUGUCAGCCAUCUCUGCAUGGCACUUCUUUAACUGGGAAACGUGAAACACAUCAUGAACUCCUGACAAUCCUUCGGGUAAUUCCAACUUGCAGGCAACUUCUCCUAUACGUUCCAAAACUCUGUAUGGUCCCACAAAUCAUGGUGCUAGUUCUCCUUUGACUCCAAAUCGCUUAACUCCUCGAAGUGGGGACACACGAAGAUAUGCUCUGUCUCCGACUUCAUAGGCUACCUCCUUGCAUUUAGUAUCGGCAUAACUCUUCUGCCUUGACUGAGCUAUCUUGAGUCUGUCACAAAUCAACUUAACCUUCUCCUCAAAAUCUCUGAUUUAAUCUAGUCCGAACAACUAUCGAUCUCCAACUUUAUCCCAUGACAAUUGUGUCCUGCACCUCUGUCGGUGUCAAAACCGGCGGAUCUCGGGUAGGGGGUCCCGAACUAUGCGUCUAGGCGGAUGGUAACAGGAGACAAGGGACACGAUGUUUUACCCAGGUUUGGGCCCUGUCGAUGGAGGUAAAACCCUACGUCCUGCUUGAUUAAUAUUGAUGAUAUGGGUAGUACAAGAGUGGAUCUACCACGAGAUCAAGGAGGCUAAACCCUAAAGCUAGCCUAUGGUAUGAUUGUUGUAAUGUAUGUUGUGUCCUACGGACUACAGCCCUCCGGUUUAUAUAGACACCGGAGAAGGCUAGGGUUACACAGAGUCGGUUACAAUGGUAGGAGAUCUACAUAUCCGUAUCGCCAAGCUUGCCUUCCACGCCAAGGAAAGUCCCAUCCGGAGACGGGACGAAGUCUUCAAUCUUGUAUCUUCGUAGUCUUGGAGUCCGGCGAACGAUGAUAGUCCGGCUGUCCGGACACUCCCUAGUCCAGGACUCCCUCAGUAGCCCCUGAACCAGGCUUCAAUGACGAUAAGUCCGGCGCGCAUAAUGUUCGGCAUUGCAAGGCGGGUUCCUCCCUUGAAUAAUCCAGAGAAGAUCAUGAACACCAGGAUAGUGUCCGGCUCUGCAAUAUAAAUUCCACAUUCCACCGUAGAGAGAAUAAAAUGUACACAAGUCCAAUCUGCUGACGUAUUAUGCGGCAUGACAUCACACCGCUACCAAGCCUUUAUUUGAAUCAUUUUUUAUUAUACCACCUCAUCACGUUUAGCGAAGCGGUUUCCUUGGCACGUCCUGUCGAAGCAGAGAUCGUGUUCCCCUUAUUCCGGGAUUCUCAUCAAUACGGACGUGGGUAACCCAACCCCGCCCGUCGCCACGUCUCCUCUAUCGAAGGUGAAUCACGAACGGUCACGGAGACGACUCUUGGUAUUUUCCCCCUUUAUAAGAGGACCAAGGCUCGUUUCUUUUCUUCAAUCUUCCAUCGAAUCUUCUCCUUGCUCCAAGUUCCAACACCCAGGGCCCCAGAUUCGAGCGCUUCGGAUCUUCAACCAUGUCCGGCUCCGACCUCCAGGGUCGGUGGAUGCCCUCCUCCGUUACGGAGGAGGACGUGCUAAAGCUGCGUGAGGCCAAGUACCUGUCCUAUGAGAUUUCGCACAGGUUGCCCGCCCAAGGGCAGGCCGUGCCCACUCCCGAGCCCGGUGAGUACGUCGUCUUCGUAUCCCACCUCCGUUGGGGCUUAGGCUUCCCGACGGACCCCUUCGUGAGAGGGCUCAUGUUCUACUACGGGCUGGAUUUUCACGACUUGGCUUCGGAGUCCAUCCUCCACAUCUCCGCAUUCAUUAUCGUCUGCGAAGCCUUCCUCCGCGUCACCCCGCACUUCGGCCUGUGGCUGAAGACCUUAAAUGUGGAGCCGAAGAUGAUCGGGGGGCGUCAAGCGGAGUGCGGCGGGGCGGCCAUAAGCAGAAGGGCCGAUGCCCCGUGGCCCGAGGGUUCCUUCCAGGAGGAGCUCGGACUGUGGCAGCAGGAGUGGUUCUAUAUCACCGCUCCGAAGGGCAGCAAGCAAAAGCCGCCGCCUUCAUUCCGCCUGGUACCUCCAUGCCGACUGAUGUCGUGGGUCAACCAAGGGCUAAAUUGGGGGCCGUCCGAAGACGUGCCCUCAUUGCAGGGCCGGAUUCGAGACCUCCAGGCGAGGGAGAUCAAUCUAGUCGUGGUGAUGCAGGUUAUGCUAAUCAGGCGUCUUCUGCCCUGCAAACGCCGUCCUCUCCGGUUAUGGGAGUUCAAUCCGGAGGGACCACGAAUUCUCCAACACUUCAUGGGUGCGACACCCGUGGAGAUGUACAAGUUGUUCUUCGAACCGCUGGUGGUGUGUCCGGAAUUGACCGAGGACGUAGGCUUAAGCUGCAAUCGCCCGGAUACUCAGGUAAGUAGCUCAGAGUCCGGAUGUUCUGUUUAUUUGCUUUUCUAGAAUUCGCCUCCUGACCCAUUACUCUUCAUCAGGAGUGGGUAGCGCGAUCGAAGCUGAUAAGGUGUCCGGCCCCCCUCCCAGAGACCGCACUGGAGCCCGUGCUGGUCAGAAUGUUGGAGGUCGCGCCCGAAGAAAGGGGCGAUGGGGAAAAUAGAAGAGUUAAUACCUCGCCCAAGGGGGCGCCUGAAGAGGGGGGGAUCGAAAAUCCCUCCCUCCAGGGGGAGAAGAGGACUGCCUCCGAAGACCUGGAGGCCAAAGCCCCUAAGCGGGAGAAGAAAUCUUCACCGGAGGGUCCUGCGUCCGGGGAGAACCCGGACGUGCAAUCGUCUCUAAAGGACCAGCCCUCUAGCGAGCCAUGAGUAGGGAAAGGGGAGUUUAUUAAUAAGAAAAUACCUCCAUUUGUGCUUCUGUGGAUAACCGAAAUUUUACUUUGCAGUUCGGAUUUGCGGACUUCUCAGAUGAGUUCGUCUUCGGGGGAUCUUCGUCCGGAGAUGAUGGAGAGCGAAACGCCUCCAUCUGCUGCGUCGCCGGACAGGGCAGAUGAGCCUGAAGUAUCAUCACGGAGGGUGUCCCCGAGCCCGGUGAGGCUGGAGAGUUCGGCGCCGACUAGUGUCCGACCGGGGGAGCCGAAGAGUCUGCUUGAGAGGGCGUCCAUCUCAGAAGAUCACCGUGCUUUGAUGAGUAUGUUGAUCGGAAGGAUUUCGUCCGCCGAAAGCGGAUUGCAUAAUGCCGUCAGGAGUUUGCUGGCGGGAUUUGAGGUACGUAAGAACGACGCACCUUUUUGACAGUUUUGCACAUAGAAGUGCGCCCUGUAUAGAUAAUAGCCCCUGAGACUCGGCAGGUUGUCGAAAGCGACAGCGUGCCGAGGAUCAAAAUCGCAGGUAUUGAAAGUUGUCCUACCUAUGUAGGUGACGGAUAGUCCGGGGGCUAGCCGGACUAGUGGAGUUGUUGAGUUAAUGCGGCAACUUGAUGUGGCGGAUGCGGACAUCGCGCUUAUCAACCGACGACUUGACGAGUCGCAAGGUAAAUGAAUUCUCCGCAGUCUCUUAUUUGAGGGAGCCAAAGCCCGCCUCUGAUAAUAUAUAUGCUGUGAUACAGAUGGUGCUGCUGCUGUGGAGAACCUUCGUGCCGACCUUGCUCAAGCUAAGGAGCAAGCCCGAAGGAGUGAUGCGGCUGCCUCGAGGGCGGCCGAAGAGUUGAAAGCCGAAAAGGCUGCACACUGCCUAAGCAGGGAAAAGAUGGCCGAAUUGGCUGUGAAAUUAAAAGAUGCUGCCGACCGCAAUGAGGCUCUUGAAAAGGAGCGCUUAUCGGAGCGGGAAAACCUGGUGAAGGCCACCGUUGAGGCCAAGGAUGCCCAUUCUGCAAUGCGGGCUAUGAAGGAGGAGCUGCGCCAGGCCGGCGAUAUUGUGGCUGACAAGCUGUUUCUGCUGCGUCGCCGGUUUAUGGAUCAAAAAUAUGCCCAACUUGGCCAGCUGUGGGGUCCGGAGGAUCCAUAUAUGGACUUAGCGGCAAGUGCGGCUGAUGCCGUUGAGCACUUCCGGAGCCAGAAGGAUCACAAGAUGGAAGAGCUAUUUUGGUAUCAAUUCCAUAGUCCGGAUCGUUCACUUCCGUUGACCGAUCGGUUGGCCGAAUGGGCUGAGCUAAAUAGAUUGUCCGGACUUGCCAUGACUGAUAUCGUGGCUCAUGUCUGGCCAGAGAGGCCCAAGGCGACGAGCUAUUUCGGCUUAUUGCAGCAAUUUCUUGGAGCGGUGCCGCAUAUCAAGGAGAUGAAGCGGUCGGCCUACAUAGAUGGCGCGCGCAUGGCCCUUGCCCGUGUGAAGACACAUUGGACAGAGAUGGAUGCCACCGCUAUUGCCACCCAGGGUUCGGACGAAAGCCGGUUACCCGCCGAGCACUAUUUUGGGGAAGUUAUGCGUGGCGCUCGUGUAAUAGAGUCGCAGUGCUCAAAAAAUGUUACGUUCAAAUGAACGUUUUUAUCUUGUAAGACAAUGAUUAUAAUGUAACCACUUUUUAGACUUGUGCGUCCCAAGUAUUAAAAUAUCUCCUAUGCGACCGUUUAUGUAUACAUUUGUAUAACCUGAAAGAUUGCAGUCUUCGGCUUCAGCCCCCACGCACAAGGUGCGGGGGUGUUCGCAAAAAUAGUGCCUUUUCACACUUAAUCCGACGUCUCGGUCCUGUUAUGAAGGUGGUAGCGUAGCAAACAAGGCAAUCCGGACUAUUAUGCUUUAUCACUUUCACUUAGCCAGUGGAGUUCGAGGGUGGGGCUAUGAUAUAGCCCCUUGGGGCAUCGCGCUUCUCCGAAUUCGGGGCGCGUGUGUGCCUGACCGGGAAACGGUCCUUCAUCAAAGUGGGGAAUUCUAAACAUUCCGGUAGUCGAUCGAGUGGUUGACCAGUCUCUCACUGUAUCAUGACAGUCAGUUUUCGGCUUUCUCUACUGAGGUGCUCGCCCAGCCGAACUGGGGCACAAUCGCAGUAGUUCUCCUGGUGCCGCGUUAGCCGAUGAUACGGAACGUAAGGCAGCAAAACACAGGAGCCGGGCAAACCCAACAUUUGACCAAAGACAUGAUUCGGAGCUGAUGCAUAUAAGGCCUAACUCGAGGCGCCGAACACUCCCUAAGGUGUUCGGUCUUUGUAAUAAUGGGCAGAACAAUGCCCUGAGCCCCUAGUGUCCAGGUACGGGCAUGGUCUUCUGACGUGGCCGAUGCCAAAACGUCAAGCUCCGCUUUGGCUAUAAUGAGAAACCAAGGGAUUAUAACAACAAGAGACAGUAAAAAAGGUUUACGCAGGGUCUUAACUUGAAAAGAAUCCUCGCAACGGGUCCCUACUGCACGUCUGUGCUUGUGUCUCCAUUGUGCCGUUAUCCUGGACGGGUGUGCACGUUGUUCAUCUGUAAAAAGAAUUUGUGCAAAAUAUAUACGAAGAAAGAAAUAUAAAUAAGUAAAGUGGAGUCUAUGUGAGCUCGCUGUUGCAGCCCCUUGUGAAGGGAUGUGCGGCUAGGGAGCCCCUAGCUUACUUAUGCCGGACUCGCCUAACCGUGUCUGGGGUCUUUAAAUGACCCUCGCACUGAAAUUAUGCCACGUGGACCGGGCAUCUUGAGUGUAAGAGACGCGUAAUGUGGUAUGUCGUUGAAGCGAACAAAAGCUUCUCGUCCCAAGAGUGCUUGAUAGCUGCUUUUAAAUGGGACUAUAUGAAAGAUUUGUUUUUCGCGUCGAAAGUUGUUCGGUAAUCCGAACACAACUUCUAGUAAUAGGGAGCCUGUGCACUUGGUGUAUGGGCCUGGCGUCACUCCUUUAAAGGAAGUGCGGCUGUGUCGAAUUGUAGUUAGGUCUAUCCCCAACUUGCGGAUUGUGUUUGAAUACAGCAGGUUUAAGUCGCUGCCUCCGUCCAUCAGGACUUGUUUAAAUUGUAGUCCGUCGAUUAUGGGAUCCAAUAUCAGGGCAGUCCAUCCUGCAUUUUGAACGCUUCUGGAAUAAUCCAGGUGGUCGAAAGUGAUUGGUUUUGAUGUCCAAUCUCUAUGUUUCGCUGGAUUGGACCGUGCGAGACCCAUUUUAAUGGGUGCCGCACUGUUUUUCUGUAUUAUCACAUGAAGUGAAUUUACUGCUUUGACCUCUUGUGGGAAAUUCUUUUGUUUUCCGGUGCUCUGCUGGUGGGGUUUGUCAUCUUCGCUUGACGCGUCGAGCCCCUUGUGUUCGGCGUUUAGUCGGCCGGACUGUUUGAAAACCCAACAAUCCCGAUGGGUGUGGUUUGCAGGCCUUCCGGGGGUACUGUGGAUUUGACAUAUCCGACCCAAAAUCUUGUUUAAGUUGGAUAGCUCAUUGAUGUCAUCCUUAAGAUGUGGUGUUUUGUUGUUUGGCCGCGAGCUUUUGAAUUCGGCGUUGACUGUCGUGCUCUUUGGGCUUUUCUCUUUAUUCCGGCGCUGCUCUUUUCUGCGACGUGAUUAUCCGUUUCCAUCCCUGAUCUCGGAUGUACUUGGGUCGCUGGUGCUGCAUCUUGCUAGCCAGCUAUCCUCUCCUGCAUAGAAGCGGGUCAUGAGGCUUGUUAGCGCGGACAUUGUCCUCAGCUUCUCUUGGCCGAGGUGUCUGGCAAUUCAUUUGUCUCGGACGUUGUGUUUAAAAGCUGCUAAGGCUUCGGCGUCCGGACAGUCGACUAUUUGGUUCUUUUUGGUGAGGAACCUGUUCCAGAAUUUGCAUGCUGACUCUCCGGGCUGUUGAGUUAUAUGACUUAGAUCAUCUGCAUCCGGAGGGUGGACAUAAGUCCCUUGAAAAUUUGCUCUAAACGCGUCCUCGAGCUCUUCCCAACUUCCAACAAUGUUUUCUGGGAGGCCUUUAAGCCAAUGACGGGCUGGCCCUUUGAGCUUGAGGGGUAGGUAUUUUAUGGCGUGGAGAUCGUCUCCUCUAGCCAUGUGUAUGUGUAGUAUAUAAUCCUCUAUCCAGACUCCAGCGUCUGUUGUUCCGUCGUAGGCCUCUAUGUUCAUAGGUUUAAAUCCUGCUGGGAAUUCAUGAUCCAGCACCUCGUUGGUGAAACAUAGUGGGUGUGUGGCGCCCCUGUAUUUGGGUGCAUCGCUGUCUUCGGACACUUGUCGUGCUGCAUUGUUUCCUGGGGCCCUCUUCUUUGGCCCGUAAAUGGACCUGGCUGGGCCAUCUGUCUGUCCAGGGUCGUUAGUCGGCUUAUAUGCGGCGCCGCUUUCAAAUUUUGGCCUAUCAUCUGGCCAUCUAUCCAACCAGGCGGCCUCUUUGUUUUUUGACUGUGGGGGCUCUAUGGCCUCCUCAUCAAAUUCUGGUAGUAGCUUGCGCUUUGGGUAGCUCUUUGAUUGAUGGCCAUUACCGUAUUUGUCUGCGGUUUUGAGCACUUUGCUCCACCUCAUUCUGAGUGUGUCUUCCGCUUUUUUGAGCUUUCGUUUUUCCUUUUUCAAACUUCUUGCGGUGGCAACGAGUCUUUUCCGAAGGUUUUUAUUCUCCGGCGGUGUGUCCGGCGUGAGGUCGCCUGGACUGUUGUUUUCGCCGGGACUAGAUUGAUUAUCUGACUCGUCUUGUUCGGACGGUUGCUUGUCUGCGUGUUCGUCGUCCGCUGGUUCACCCUGCUGUAUUGCUGGGUCGUUAGGAGCGCUGUUGUUGUCGAGGCGGGACUUAGUGCGGCGUCUGCGUCGCCGUUUUGGUUGUUUGUCGGCGGGAUUAUCCUCUUCCGCGCCUUGUUGGUCCUCGUUAUCGCUUCCUUUUGGGGUGUCCACCAUGUAUACAUCGUAUGACGAGGUGGUCUUCCCUUGCCUUGUAGGCACUGUUUUCUGUUCAUCUCCGACAUCGUCUUCCAUACCGUCGAUGUCUUCGGAGUCGUAGUUUAGCAUGUCGGUAAGAUCAUCGACAGUGGCUACAAAGUGGGUGGUGGGUGGGCUCUGAAUUUCUUCGUCGUCCGUAUCCCAACCAUCUUGGCCAUAAUUCGGCCAGGACUCUCCGGAUAGCGAGAGAUGCUUUAGCGAAUUUAGGAUGUCGCCAAAGGGCGAGUGUUGGAAGAUGUCCGUGGCGGUGAAUUCCAUAACCGGCGCCCAAUCAGAUUCAAUUGGUGGGGGCGCGGGAGGUCCGGAGUCCGGCAAGGAGUCCGGCACCUCGGAGUCACGUGCUUCGUGAGGGACAAGGGCAGUGUUCGGCUCCAUCGCCGUGGAAGUUGAAGCCCCUGAGGCGGUGUCCAACCACCGGUCCUCGAUCCGGGCGGUCGGCUCCGAGCUAAAAGACGGAGCGGACUCGUGUGCGGCUACCAAGGCACUGUUCGGCGGCAGAGCUAGAUAUGCCCAUCGUAACAGUGCGGCGCGCUUGGCUGUGGCUCGAGUCCGUCGAAGAUCAAGUCUCCGCGGAUGUCGGCCGUGAAGUUUAGGCUUCCGAAUCUGACCUGACGGCCAGGGGCGUAGCUUUCGAUCUGCUCCAGAUGGCCAAGUGAAUUAGCCUGCAGUGCGAAGCUGCCAAAUACGAAGAUCUGUCCGGGGAGAAAAGUCUCACCCUGGACAGCGUUGUUGAUCGAAGAUGCCAUCUAGCCUAUCGGUGACGACACAGAGGAACUCUCAAUGAAAGCACCAAUGUCGGUGUCAAAACCGGCGGAUCUCGGGUAGGGGGUCCCAAACUGUGCGUCUAGGCGGAUGGUAACAGGAGACAAGGGACACGAUGUUUUACCUAGGUUCGGGCCCUCUCGAUGGAGGUAAAACCCUACGUCCUGCUUGAUUAAUAUUGAUGAUAUGGGUAGUACAAGAGUGGAUCUACCACGAGAUCAACGAGGCUAAACCCUAAAGCUAGCCUAUGGUAUGAUUGUUGUAAUGUAUGUUGUGUCCUACGGACUACAGCCCUCCGGUUUAUAUAGACACCGGAGAAGGCUAGGGUUACACAGAGUCGGUUACAAUGGUAGGAGAUCUACAUAUCCGUAUCGCCAAGCUUGCCUUCCACGCCAAGGAAAGUCCCAUCCGGACACGGGACGGAGUCUUCAAUCUUGUAUCUUCGUAGUCUUGGAGUCCGGCGGACGAUGAUAGUCUGGCUGUCCGGACACCCCCUAGUCCAGGACUCCCUCAACCUCCUUUCCUACACAACAUUGAAAGGGUCCAUCUUCAAACUGGCUUGGUAACUGUUGUUAUAGGAGAACUCUGCAUAGGGUAAAUUAUCAUCCCAACUAGAUCCAUAAUCUAGCGCACAAGUUCUCAACAUGUCCUCUAGAAUCUGAUUGACUCUCUUGGUCUGUCCAUCUGUCUGCGGGUGAAAGGAUGUACUGAACUCUAGCCUGGUACCCAAAGUUUCGUGCAACUGUUUCCAAAACUUUGAAGUAAAAUGUGUUCCUCUAUCUGAUACGAUGGUCCUCAGAACUCCAUGCAGACAUACGAUCCUGGUCAUGUAUAUCUUCACCAACUUAGCACCCAUAUAGAUUGUUUUCACAGGGAUGAAAUGGGCUACCUUGGUCAAGCGAUCAACUACAACCCAGAUAGAGUCAUAGCCUGAACGGGUCCUGGGUAAUAAGGUGAUGAAAUCCAUGCCAAGUUUUUCCCACUUCCAUUUGGGUAUCAGCAAAGGCUGAAGUAACCCUGCUGGUUUCUGAUGUUGUGCCUUAACUCUCUAACAUACGUCGCAUACUGCUACAUACUCUGCAAUAUCCUUCUUCAUUCCUGUCCACCAGAAACUCUCCUUCAAAUCCAGAUACAUCUUGGUGUUGCCCGGGUCAAUGGAAUAAGGCCAAUCAUGAGCCUCCUGAAGAAUUAACUUCCUGAUCUCAGGGUCAUUGGGCACAUAGAUACGAUCCUCAAACCAUAAAGUUCCAUGCUCAUCCUCAUGAAAACCUUUAGCCUUUCCUUUACUCAUCCUUUCCUUUAUCUCUGCAAUCUCCUUGUCCGUCUUCUAGGCUUCUCGGAUCUUUCCCAGCAAAGUGGACUGAAUUUCCAGUGCUACAACAUAACCUCUUGGAACUAUCUCCAAGCGAAGUUCUCGGAGAUCAUCGGCUAACUCCUGAGGUAAUCCUCCGGUUAUGAGUGUGUUAACAUAACUCUUGUGGCUCAAAGCAUCUGCUAUGACAUUGGCCUUUCCUGGAUGAUAAUGCAAUCUCAUGUCAUAAUCCUUUAUGAGCUCCAAUCAUCUCCUCUGUCUGAGGUUUAACUCCUUCUGCGUGAAGAUGUACUUCAAACUCUUAUGAUCCGUGUAAACAUCGCAACGGUUUCCGAUAAGGAAAUGUCUCUAUGUAUUGAGCGCAUGCACUACGGCUGCUAACUCCAAAUCAUGCGUGGCAUAAUUCAACUCAUGAGGUCGAUGCUGUCGUGAGGCAUAUGAAACAACUCUUCCUUCCUGCAUAAGAACGCCUCCAAGUCCCUGACGAGAAGCGUCGUAAUACUUGGAAAUCCUUGCGUAUAUUCGGGAGAAUCAGCACUAGGGCUGUAACCAAAAAUUUCUUAACCUCCUGAAAACUAGCCUCACAAUCCUCGGUCCAUUUAAACUUGGUGUCUUUCUUCAAUCACUCCGUCAUGGGCUUCGCGAUCUUGGAAAAAUUCUCAAUAAAUCUCCGAUAAUAACCUGCGAGUACAAGAAAACUUCUGAUCUCUCCAGCUGAGGUGGGUGCCAACCACUCAGUGACAGAUGCAACCUUGGUAGGGUCAACUACUAUCCCUUCUCCUAAUAUAACAUGUUUGAGAAAUCCAACUUCCUUCAACCAAAACUCACAUUUGCUGAACUUGGCAUACAACUGAUGUUCCCUGAGCUUCUCAAGAACCAAGCACAAAUGUUCCUUAUGUUCUCCUUCAUUCUCCGAGUAGACCAAUAUAUCGUCAAUGAAAACCAUGACGAACUUGUCCAAGAACUCCAUGAACACCUUGUUCAUCAUACUCAUAAAAUAGGCAGGGGCAUUAGUCAAACCAAAUGACAUAACUGUAUACUCAUAUAGCCCAUACCUCGUGGUAAAAGCUGUCUUAGGUAUAUCUUGCUCUCGAAUCUUCAGCUGGUGAUAGCCUGAUCAAAGAUCGAUCUUGGAUAAAACUUUAGCUCCUUGCAGCUGGUCAAACAAAUCAUUGAUCAUUGGCAAAGGGUAUUUGUUCUUCAUCAUCACCUCAUUAGGUGCGCAAUAAUCAACAACCAUCCUUAAAGAUCCAUCCUUCUUCUCAACUAGAAGCACUGGGAUCCCCAAGGUAAUGAGCUUGGUCGAAUAUAACCUUUCUCCAAUAACUCCUUAACCUGCUUCUUUAUUUCCUCCAAAUCAUUGGCGGGCAUCCGAUACGGUCUAUUGGAUAUUGGUCCGGUGCCUGGCAACAACUCUAUCAAAAACUCAAUGUCUCGAUCUGGUGGCAUGCCUGGUAACACCUACGGAAAUACAUUGGGGUAAUCCUUCACAACUGGUACUUCGUCCUGAACAAUUCUCGAAAGGGAAUUCACUUGAGUUCUCCUCGGCACAUGCCUAGACACAUACUUGAUCCUUUUUCCUUCUAGGGUGGUGAGAAGAAUCGAUUUACUGGCACAAUCGAUGUUUCCUUCAAACUUGGAUAGCCAAUCCAUGCCUAGGAUCACGUCCAAACCUUGUGACUCUAGGACAAUAAGGUCGGUGGGGAAAACGUGUCUAGCUAUGGUUAUUGGCAACUGAUAACAUCCCCGACUAGCCAUAUACUCUGCUCCUUGGAAACUCACUAACAUAGGUGACUUAAGGGCUACGGUUGGCAACAGGGGGUGGUGGCGGUGGGUUGUUGUUGUUGUUGCCUUGGUUCUGGAUCAUCAUUUGCAUCAAGGCAUUCUGUUGUUGGAUCAACCGGGUGAGCUCCGGCGGAAAAGUGAAUCUGGGGUCACGUCUCGGACGCAUCUGAUGGGUGAGAGGGGUGAGAAGACAAAAUAGAAUAAGGUCUAUGAGAGAUUUCACUACCCAUAUGCAUAUGAGGCAAAUAUAUUCAAUUCACACCACUCAACAUCAAACAAGGUUCACACAAACGAUCUAACUACUAUUAUAAAUCGAUCGAUUCUAACUACUUGGAAGAAUGCUACUAGUGAAAAGGUGGUCGUCUAGAAGUUUUGAUCGGUGGAAGAUUCCAUAAUGUCAGCUCCAGCUUCGUCUUCAUAAUCAUCAUGACUGUCAUCAUUAGCAUCACUGUCUGUGUUCAUGUCAUCUAAUAUGAUGUAGUCCUCCAAACGAAUAUCCACUUCAGGUUCUGGUUUUGGUUUCACCAUGGGUAUUCCUAGUCUCCUCUUCAGAUCUUCAUGCUUCUCCAGUAGCACAACAAUUUCUUCUUCAUAUCCAUCAUGUGUUGACUUGAGUUCCUCUUCUAGCUCAAUAUUCCUCUUCAUCACCUUCUUGGUCUUCUUCAUGAUAGAGCACAUCUGAUUCUCAUAUCGACGAAUGUGUUGAUCCAUGUCCUGAAUGUACGCUGCAAUUGAUCCAUCCUUCCUGGUGCGAAUCAUCUCCCAUUGCUCGUCUCGGCGUCCACAUAUCUGAUAGACUGUGUCUUCAAGAUCCUUGUGGUACACCUCACAAAUGCGUCCAAAGGUGAUGUGGGGUUGCCAUGUUCUUUCCUAAGCUCCAAGUUUGUGCAUCCAAGGUAAACUCGAUGGGCUCGGUUGUUGGUGCAAAUGUCCUCCCAGGUACACAAACUUUGAUCCUUUAGCGCUCCUCUUCUGGUAAGGUUGCAGUGAAGGUUCCAGUGAAGCUUGGUAGUCCGAUGUUCAGAUACUUUGUGACUUCCUUCAAGUGUCGUCCAAAAGGGGUGUCAUCAUCUGGCUGAGUGAACUUGUUCCUGGGGUCCGACAUCUGUAGAGUAGAAAUAGAGGAGGAUUAGAAAUGAGUAGAGAAGAGUAUCAUGUGGCUUUUCCUAGUGGUCGCGUCCCACAGUCAGCGUGUGCUCUGAUACCAUCUUGUAGCGAUCGCGAUCCCAAUGGACUGAAGUCUCUGUGCUUAAGUGUCAUCCCUGGAUCGGUAUGUUGACACACACAGUACUCGAGGAAUUAUAACAGAGUUUCAAUCACACACUUAUUAAAUCGAGGUCCUCAUAAAGAGUAUUUAUUACACAAAUAAUAUGGCUGAAGGCCAUCUAAUCAAGAUAGGGAUAAUUGGUUUUAUGCCUCUAGUUGUGUCCCACUCGGCUGGUUUGCCCCUAGUUUUCGAAAAUCCUCGGAUUUGUCCAAGUCCGUUUGCUCCUCUUGUGGUUUUGUCCUUCCGUUACGUUUCCAUCCAGUUAGUGCUGUUUGACCAUGUGUUGAUCGCCUUUGGACUUUUCGCUGGACCAUUCUACCCAUGCUUUCUCACUCUCUCACUAGACACUUCCAGGUGGGACCAUCAUAGAGAAAACUAUCUCUCUCUAUUCUCAAUGUCAUGUGGGACCCAUGCAGGGCCAAAUAUCUCGAAUGAGGGAGCCAUGUGUUGUAAACAGCAAAUAAUUAACACGUCAUGUUAACUAAUUAGAACAAUAGUAAUUAACACAAAUUAGUACUUAAGGUUGGUCCCACCACAAAUAUAAUUAAACAUUAGUCCAUAUGGUUACUAGCGAAAUAUACUAGCAAAUUACAUUGGGUCAAGUGUUAAAAAAAUUAACAUCAGGUCAACGAUUAAGCCGCAUGCCAUAGGUGAGCGAGGGAGCCAAAUGACCUCGCUGGAGCCAGAUGCGGGAGCUCAUCAAAUCUCCCCGUUGGGCGAGAGAAGGGGAAUGAGCUCACCGGAGCCAGCAUAAUCAAAGUCGGAGCUGAUGAAAUCCUCCUCAUCGGACGAGAGAAGGAGGAUGAGCUCGCAGGCGCCAUUGGUGUCGAUUCCACGCAUGGCCAACGGAUCUACGCGGCCGCGACUAUCACGGCCUACUCCACGCGAAGGGCGCCGGCCACCACCUCUACGGCAUGGAAGGAGGCCCGGGGGAGGCGCGCACCACCCUCCUCUACCAUCUCUCCCUACUGUGUGUCCUCGGCCGCUGCCUAUGUUGGCCACUGAUGAGAUCCGUGGCUCCACCAUCGACUGGAACCCCGCCGGCCUCCCUUGGAUCUCCUAACAAGCAAGAUAUGGGAGGCGAUGUUGGCCACCGACGGGUUCGACAGCCUUGUCCACACGCCGGCGUCAGCCUGGCCAUCGAUGGGGACGUCCGCGUGGUUGCUUGCCGUGGCCUUGCACUGAACCAUAGCGGUAGAGCAUUGAGGCUGGGGUACGGGAAUAAGAUUUGAGAGAGAGGGCGAGACGGGAACCAGGGGUUGACCGACAGGAGAGAAGAAAAAGAGGUUGGGCUAGCCUCCUCUGUGAUGGGUCCCACUUGGAAGUGUCUAGUGAGAAAGUGAGAAAGUAGGGGCAAAAUGGUCCAGAGAAAAGUUCAGAGAUGGUCAACACAAGGUCAAACGACACUAACUGGAUGGAAACGUGACCGAAGGGCAAAAACAUAAGACAGGCAAACGGACUCGGGAAAAACCGAGGAUUUUCAAAAACUAAGGGUAAACCAGCCGUGUGGGACACAACUAGUGGCAUAAAACUAAUUAUCCCAUCAAAAUAACCGCGGAAGCAUAGCUGAGUGCACGACAACAACCUAGCGCACCUUAUUCUUCGUCGGUAAAGUCUGAAACAUGAGACAUUGCAGCCAUGUAGGUCAGCACAUGGAAUAUGCUGGCAGAGUUACACUGUAGAGCAAAAUGAAUGCAAGAAACUAUCUACAUGCAUAUUUGGCUGGUGGAGGCUCUAAGUUUAAUUUUGGGCAUAAAGCUAAUUUUCCCCUACAACAAAGGAAUAAAUUUUAUUUACUACAAAGUUUAUACCAAUAUUGAGAAGGUUCCUCCAACUCAAUUCCAAAAUUAACCAAGUAUCAUCGUUAAACCCAAUACAUUAAUUAAAGAGUGAUGAGAUCAACAUAAAUAUCCACUUAUAGAUACUCAAAUUGUCCAUAACCGGGGACACAGCUAACCAUGAUUAGUUUAUACACUCUGCAGAGGUUGCACACUUUUCCCACAAGACUCGACCGCAUCCAUGAUUGGAAGAUCGAGACAUAGUCUUUCUAAAGCAUUAACUCUCUACUCUGGGUAGACCGGUACACCCACUUUCCCCUACAUCUUCUAGUCCACCUCGUCAAGAGCUCACACAACUUACUCAACUAUGCCAGAGCCCAUAAUGGCUUGUGGCUGCACACGGAAGUAUCUAGGCAUGAAAUAUCAUAUGAUCCCUUUGAGCCUGGGUGGCGAACCGAGGGAAAAUCACACGGGUACUCCGGGAUUCCCAUGGGCAAGCACUGGUUUCUCCAGGUGCCCCAACCAAUCCACCCAGAUGUGUAUUAAAGUUGCCACCUUAAUGUUGUCCAAAAUUAUUAUCUCUCACAAAUUCCAUGAAUAUCACAAACCAAUCCCCGUCUACGAGCAUGACUAAGCAAUAAAUGAGCAUAAUGUAUAUUCCCUGGGUGAUCAAAGGUAAUAGGUUCCUACCUCAAUUACUACAACCAAAACACAUGUUCCCAAUCCUACUACUCAUGCAAAUCUUUGAGGGGUAAAACUAAUGCACAGCAAAAACUGGGUAUUGAAAAGUAUGAUCAAAGUGUAACUUGCCUUGCUGACGAUCGGAAAACUCUAGAGAUUCAUAGUAACAAGCUUCGCACUCCGAAAAAUCUAGCAUAGACAAACAAUAGGAGACAUAAGCACUCAAGCAAACGAUGCAAAGAGAAAUUGAAGAAAAGAUCCAAAGAACUCAAAAAUAAGAAAAUAACUAAGCUAAACAAAAAAUAAAUUCUAACAGCAUUAUAUUUAUGUGGAUUAGAUCUUAACAGAAGGUACAUGUGAUUAGCUACGAUUUCCAAAAAGAAUCAACUCAAACGAAGCUACAAAACUCGAGAUACGAUCAAAACAAGAUCAAAUUCAAAUCUAAACUAAAAUCAAAUUUUAAAUUGUCAAAAACCUAUUCAAGUUGGUUUACUAGAUAGAUGGGAUUGUUCUGAAGAUUUUGCGGUUGGUUUCGUCAAAUUUGGAAAACGAGCAAAUAGUUGCGAGGGUUUAAAGAUUAGGGGCUAAUCUGCGAAGAAAAUAUUCGCAGAUAGGUCCCUAGCCAAAAAUUAAAAUAAAAAGAAAAAACUACCGAACGAACUUUCGCUACAGAACCUAAUCUAAUGAAUCUGUUUGCUACAGAAUCUAAAUGAACGAACCCUCGCUAAAUAACUGAACUAAAUAAAAUAAACCAGAUCUAACAGAAAAACCAAAAAAAAACGGAUCGGACCGGGGCGGUUUUUUACCGGUUCACGGCGGCGACGGGGCUUGGGUUCGACGAUGCGAUGGUGGCGGGCUCCGGCGACAGCGGCUGUCAGCGACGACAUCGGCGGCGGUGUGCGGCGGCAAGUGCGGCACGACGGCGGGGCUUGCGGGCCGCGCGAGCGGCGAGUGCUGCGGGCGGUGACAGAAAGUGUGGUGGUGGCGGCGCGGGUUGAGACGAGGAGAGAGGGGCCGGGUCCUUGCUAUUUAAGGGGGGCCAGGGUGUGCGGGCGGCUUGGGGAUGGGGAAAGCGGGGCGGCAGCGGUCUCGGAAUCCGGGCCGGACUCCGGCAGCGGCGGCGGCGUGGCGUGGCCGAACUCCUAGCCGGAGUCGGUCGUGUGGCGUGGGAGGAGCUGGGCCUUGGCUUGGCGGCUAGCUGGGCCGGCCCAGUUCGGUGGGAAGUUUUUUUUAAACAAUUUUUGCAGAGACAUAAACACACUAAAUAAAUAUAAAUAAAAUCCAAAAAAUACCCCUAAAUUCACGUUGUAAUAUGACCUUAUUAUUGACCUAGUGAACAUUUUUCUGGGCAUAAAUGCCUAAACGAAAAACAAACAUUAUAGUACUAAUUACUCCACUAACAAAAUAGACUAGCGAAUAAAAUCAAAUAAAUUCUCCAAAAAUUCAAAAAUUCAAUUGCCAAUCUUUCUUUGAUGAUUUUGAAGAUGUCCUUUUAUCUUCUCUCUUUACUUUAAAAUAUUUGGAAAAGAAUUUUGAAAAAAAAUUUGAUCCAAUUACCAAAUUUUGAUAAAUCAAAAUUGGAUUUUUGUGAAACCUCCAACUCUCUCAAAUUGGUCCUUGAGUUGCUUAAGGUCUCUUGGAUCAAAAUGCAACUAAAACAAAGCAACAAAAUGCAUAAUUCAUGGAUGCAUAAGAGUGAUCUAUGAAUAACAUCCAAAUUGAAAAUUGGGAUGCUACACCUGCUAACCAUACAGGUGGUUUGAGAGGUAAUCAUCAGUGAACUGCUUUGGAAAGGCCUGAAAACAAGGAUAUGCAUAAAUAUCUUCUCCAGAUUUGAAAUGGCGCAAAGGAAUUAAAAGGACAAGGUAUAACAGUUAGUACCAUCCCGUAGUGAACUGAUGUCUUCUUCAUUGUGCAGACAAAGAUCUUGUUGUUUUUUGUCGCUAAUUUCUUUAUCGUAACAAUCUUUUUGAGUUUCUUGACUUGACUGAUAUUAAUGGAUAACUCAUUUCCACAUAUGCAAAAAGGGUCAAAUAGUGGGUCAAAACCUCUGACAGCAGGACCUACAUGUGCAAGACCAAAUUGUUAAAAACCUAAUAUUUAAAAACAAGAAGUGGAAAGUGUGUUAUUAACUGCAAUAGGCCUAAUAUUUUAAAACAAGCAAACAUGGUCAUUCAGACUUGUAUUGUGCAGGUCUAAGUACACUAGUUAUUGUCCCUUUUUGGAUCCAUGGGUUAGAGUUAGUUUGAGCUAGUUUGGGCUCAAAUUGCCCUAAAGUAUCCAAACACGAGGGCUAGUUUGAGCUAGUUACGUCAAACUCACCGAAAACAACUAUCCCACCCAAGAGGUGCUGAUUGGGGCUAGUUCUCCUAGUGCAUUUAUUGUCAAUCUAACACUGUCAUCCAAACACCUCUUCGGCUAGAGUUAGUUUAGGGUUAGUCAUUUUUUAGUAUCAAUGUUAUUUAGGAAACGUAAGAUAGCGUAGGAUUUAUUCUACCUUGACUUGUACUCCAAGAUGACCAUGUACUCCUAUAUAUAUGCCCACGAGGCUCAAGCAAUACAAUCAACUAUUCCACCAUUCUCUCUCUCUCUCUCCAUUUUAACUGUCAUGAGCUAGAAACUAACUCUAACCUCUAAAUAAGUUAGAGUAUUCAAACAGUGCCAUUGUUAAAUCAAAUGGAAAGGCGCAUUCAGUACUCCCUCCAGUCCUUUUUACUCUGCAUAUAAGAAUUGUGUGAAGUAAAACUUCAUAAAGUUUGACCUUAUUUAUAUGAAAAAAUAUCAACAUCUAGCAUGCUAAAGUUAUACAAUAUGAAAUAAGUCAUGACACAUGUACUGAUUUUUAUUUCAUAUUGUGAAUGUUGGUAUUUUGUUCUAUAAAGUUGGUCAAACUUUAAGAGGCCUGACUUUAGACAAAUCUUGUAUGCGAAAUAAAAAGAUUCAGAGGGAGUACAACAUGCUUAACAACAACCAAAUAGUCAUUCAUAGAGCUAUUGUUAAAUUUGGUAUUAAUGAAAUUGAACUGCACAGUUCAUACUAGCACAUAUAGAACAUCACACUGUUAAUAGCUGAAAUAAACAAGGCAUACUACGAACAACCAAAGAUGGCAAUUGAAACUGGACAUAUGCUAACUACAAACAACCGAACAACCAUAAACCAUAGAAAUAAACAAUGCAUAAUGCAAACAACCUAAUAUAGCAAUAAAUACUAGACACGUUCUCACUACAAAAGGGGUUCGAGAAAACAAAUCAUGGAUUUCCUCACUUGUCAUAGAUGGGCUCCCCUCGUGGUCACCGUUGAUGAGGUCUGACUUGCUAGCUGAGCAUCCCAAGCCAGCAUCACAUAACUUGUCCUUCAGAAAUGAAAAAAGGAGCUCCAUGGCUAUGAAGGACGGCAAAUUGUUCAUAACGAGCCGCAGGAGAUCAGCAGCUGGGCCAUCGAUGAGAUCGAUUACUGUCGAACCCGAAUGUUUGGGGGUGGGCAACUUAACCUGUGACAUAACCCGCAUCAAGCCGCCGGUGUCGACGACCUCGAUGUCGUAGCCAGCGUCCGCAACAUGCCAGAAUACUCUAGCCCGCUGAUUGAAAGGCUCAAUCUAGGUCCAGUCAUUAUCGUCAGCUUCCUCGACGGCCACAUCGCUUACAUCACGCGAAGAGGCCGCGGUAAAGCUCUUUUGGGCCAUUCACUCCUCAAGCUCAUUGGGAAGCGUAGCCGGGCUUAGGCUGCAACGCUCUGGAGUGGCGGAGAGGGGGUGUGUGGAUUGAUAACCCACAAGUACAGGGGAUCGCAACAGUUUUCGAGGGUAGAGUAUUCAACCCAAAUUUAUUGAUUCGACACAAGGGGAGCCAAAGAAUAUUCUCAAGUAUUAGCAGUUGAGUUGUCAAUUCAACCACACCUGGAUAACUUAGUAUCUGCAGCAAAGUAUUUAGUAGCAAAGUAGUAUGGAAGUAACGGUAACAGUGGCAAAAGUAACAGUAGCAGUUUUGUAGUAAUUGUAACAGCAGCAAUGGUAAAGUAUAUAAGUGAAGCACAAUAUGUGAAAAGCUCGUAGGCAUUGGAUCAGUGAUCGUUAAUUAUGUCGGAUGCGGUUCAUCAUGUAACAGUUAUAACAUAGGGUGACACAGAACUAGCUCCAGUUCAUCAAUGUAAUGUAGGCGUGUAUUCCAAAUAUAGUCAUACAUGCUUAUGGAAAAAAACUUGCAUGACAUCUUUUGUCCUACCCUCCCGUGGCAGCGGGGUCCUAAUGGAAACUAAGGGAUAUUAAGGCCUCCUUUUAAUAGAGUACCGGACCAAAACAUUAACACUUAGUGAAUACAUGAACUCCUCAAACUACGGUCAUCACCGAGAAGUAUCUCGAUUAUUGUGACUUCGGGGUUGUCGGAUCAUAACACAUAAUAGGUGACUAUAGACUUGCAAGAUAGGAUCAAGAACUCACAUAUAUUCAUGAAAACAAAAUAGCUUCAGAUCUGAAAUCAUGGCACUCGGGCCCUAGUGACAAGCAUUAAGCAUAGCAAAGUCAUAGCAACAUCAAUCUCAGAACAUAGUGGAUACUAGGGAUCAAACCCUAACAAAACUAACUCGAUUACAUGGUAAAUCUCAUCCAACCCAUCACCGUCUAGCAAGCCUAUGAUGGAAUUACUCACGCACGAUGGUGAGCAUCAUGAAAUUGGUGAUGGAGGAAGGUUGAUGAUGACGACGGCGAUGAAUCCCUCUCUCCGGAGCCCCGAACGGACUCCAGAUCAGCCCUCCCGAGAGAGAUUAGGGCUUGGCGGCGGCUACGUAUCACAAAACACGAUGAAACUUUCUCUCUCAUUUUUUUCUCCGUGAAAGCAAAUUUAUGGAGUUGGAGUUGAGGUCAGUGGAAGUCUAGGGGGCCCACGAGGCAGGGGGCACGCCCUAGGGGGGGCCACCCUCGUGGAUAGGGUGUCGGCCCCCUGACAUUGAUUCUUUCGCCAGUAUUUUUUAUUAAUUCUUAAAAGUUGCUCCGUGGAUUUUCAGGUCAAUCCGAGAACUUCUAUUUCUGCACAAAAAUAACACCAUGGCAGUUCUACUGAAAACAGCGUCAGUCCGGGUUAGUUCCAUUCAAAUCAUGCAAGUUAGAGUCCAAAACAAGGGCAAAAGUUUUUGGAAAAGUAGAUACGACGGAGACGUAUCAACUCCCCCAAGCUUAAACCUUUGCUUGUCCUCAAGCAAUUCAGUUAACAAACUGAAAGUGAUAAAGAAAAACUUUUACAAACUCUGUUUGCUCUUGUUGUUGCAAAUAUGUAAAUCCAUCAUUCAAGUUCUCAGCAAAAUUAUGAACUAACCAUAUUCACAAUAACACUUAGGUCUCAUGUUUACUCAUAUCAAUGGCAUAAUUAACUAGCGAGCAAUAAUAAUAAAUCUCGGAUGACAACACUUUCUCAAAACAAUCAUAAUAUGAUAUAAUAAGAUGGUAUCUCGCUAGCCUUUUCUGAGACUGCAAAACAUAAAUGUAGAGCACCUUUAAAGAUCAAGGACUGACUAAACAUUGUAAUUCAUGGUAAAAGAGUUCCAGUCAUAGUCAUACCCAAUAUAAACUAAUAGUAAUGCAUGGAAAUGACAGCGGUGCUCUCCAGCGGGUGCUUUUUAAUAAGAGGGUGACGACUCAACAUAAUAGUAAAUAGAUAGGCCCUUGACAGAGGGAAGCAGGGAUUUGUAGAGGUGCCAGAGCUCGAUUUUGAAAUAGAGAUAAAUAACUUUCUGAGCGGUAUACUUUUACUGUCAACAUAACAACUGAGAGAUCUCGAUAUCUUCCAUGCUAUACACAUUAUAGGCGGUUCCCAAAGAGAAUGGUAAAGUUUAUACUCCCCCACCACCAACAAGCAUCAAUCCAUGGCUUGCCCGAAACAACGGGUGCCUCCAACUAGCAACAAUCCUGGGGGAGUUUUGUUUGCAAUUAUUUUGAUUUGAUUUGAGCAUGGGACUGGGCAUCCCGGUGACCAGCCAUUUUCUCAUGAGUGAGGAGAGGAGCCCACUCCUCUUGAGAAUAACCCGCCUAACAUGGAAGAUACAGACAGCCCUAGUUGAUACAUGAGCUGUUCAAGCAUACAAAACAGAAUUUCAUUUGAAGGUUUGGAGUUUGGCACAUACAAAUUUACUUGGAACGGCAGGUAAAUACCGCAUAUAGGAAGGUAUGGUGGACUCAUAUGGAAUAACUUUGGGGUUUAUGGAGUUUGGAUGCACAAGCAGUAUUCCCGCUUAGUACAGGUGAAGGCUAGAAAGAGACUAGGAAGUGACCAACUUAGAGAGCGACAACAGUCAUGAACAUGCAUUAAAAUUAAUCAACACUGAGUGCAAGCAUGAGUAGGAUAUAAUCCACCAUGAACAUAAAUAUCGUGAAGGCUAUGUUGAUUUUGUUUCAACUACAUGCGUGAACAUGUGCCAAGUUAGGUCACUCAAAUCAUUCAAAGGAGAAUACCACCCUAUCAUACCACAUCACAACCGUUUUAAUAGCAUGUUGGCACGCAAGGUAAACCAUUAUAAACUCAUAGCUAAUUAAGCAUGGCAUAAGUAACUAUAAUCUCUAAUUGUCAUUGCAAACAGGUUUAUUCAUAAUAGGCUGAAUCAGGAACGAUGAACUAAUCAUAUUUACAAAAACAAGAGAGGUCGAGUUCAUACCAGCUUCUCUCAUCCCAAUCAGUCCAUCAUAUAUCGUCACUAUUGCCUUUCACUUGCACGAUCGAACGGUGUGGAUAAUAAUAAUAGUGCACGUGCAUUGGACUAAGCUAGAAUCUGCAAGCAAUCAAUUCAAGGGAGAAGACAAAGUAAUAUGGGCUCUUGGUUAAAUCAACAAUAAUGCAUAUAAGAGCCACUUAAACAUUUUCAUCAAGGUCUUCUCCUCUCGACCCCCAAAGGAAAGAAAAGAAAUAAAACUAUUUACACGGGAAAUCUCCCAACAAGCAAAAGAAGAACGAGAAAUAUUUUUGGGUUUUCUUUUAGUUACUACUACUACAGGCAUGGAAAGUAAGCUAACUAUUUUUUUUAGUUUUUCUUAAGGUUUAUCAAACACACAAGAAGAAAGCUAGAAAAAGAAAAUAAACUAGCAUGGGUAGUACAAUGAAAGAGUAUGAGCACCGAUGACUAGAAUGAGUGUGUGAACAUGAAUGUAAUGUCGGUGAGAAAUACGUACUCCCCAAAGCUUAGGCUUUUGGCCUAAGUUGGUCUAUGGCAUGGGUAGCCUGGCUGAUACCCGAAGUUGUAACUGGGGUCGUACUGAGAUGCGGCAGCCAUUGGCUCCUGAGCUGCAGCCUGGCAGCGAGCUGCCUCCGUCCUCCUCUCGUACUCGUGCGGCUCCUCCCUGGUUAUAACAUAUCUUCCUUUUGCCUGAUAGUCAAAGAGGGCAGGAGCAGGGAGAGUAAUAUGAACAGCGCGACGUCUGUCAAAGAUUAGUUGAUACUGGAGGAAUUGUUCAUUCCUCUCAAGAAAAUGAUGAUUAACCAUGGCAUUAUAAUCUAAAUAAGCGGGAGGCAACUCCCUAUCAUUUUCAUGUACGGGUGUACCAAGAUAAUUAGCCACACGGAUCGCAUAAAUCCCCACAAACAAAUCUCCAGUUAAACCAUUAUUAUGCAACCUACAUGCAACAAUUGCCCCCAAGUUGUAUUGUUUAUCACCUAAUACAACACUCUUGAGGACACAAAGAUCAGGAACACACAUGUGACAUGCUUCAUCUUUACCGUUAAUGCAUCUACCUAUGAAGGGAGCAAAAUAAUGUAUAGCAGGAAAGUGAAUGCUCCCUAUGGUAGCUUGUGCUAUUUCUCUAGAUUCUCCCACAGUGAUACUAGCAAGAAAGUCUUUAUAUUCAGAUUUACGAGGUUCAUUAACACUGCCCUACUGCGGGAGUUUACAAGCAGUAGUAAAGACUUCUAAGUCCAUGGUAUAUGAUUUAUCAUAAAGAUCAAACAUGACAUUCUGAGUAUUGCGCGAAGAUGUAAAUUUAAACCUUCUCACAAAGGAGUCAGUCAAAUGGUAGUAUUGAGGGCACUUAUCUUGCAUGAAGUCUUCAAGGUCAGCAUUAUGCACAUAUGCAUCAAAUUCAUCCUUGAUGCCUACUUUGACCAUAAACUCCUCUGAUGGCCAUUCACAAGGACGCACGUCGGCUUCCCUCGGUGGUUCGUCGUCCUGCUCACGUAUUGCGAUCCUGGGUCCUUUCUUCCUUGAAGAACCACCUUGUUCCAUUUUCCUGGACAUAUUUCUUCCUCUGAAAAAUUUCUGAAAUUUUUAGUAACUCAAAAUAAAAGUGAAUCAAACUCAAGAAAAUUGAUAGCAACUACUCCCACAAGUGCCUAGAGACUAUAUCAUGCAUUAGAAUUACUUGGGACCAUACAAAUUUGACAUGCAAGCUCAAGAACAGGGUCAGCUAGGCAGCAAAAAUUUGCAAUGAAUAAAGCACUAGAAUAAAAACUAAUUGGACCAUUGGAGGAGUCACAUACCAAAGAACAAUCCGCCAAAGCAGUUUUGUGAAUGGAGCUUUGAGCAAGGAGAUCGAAAAUGGCAGCAAAGUGAGCUAGAACUCGUGCUUGAGCUGGAUGGUGAUUUUUUUUGGGAGGAAGAAGAAGUGUGUGGGUGCAGGAGUAAGUGGAGGGGGGCCACCAUGGGCCCACGAGGCAGGGGGCGCGCCCUGGACCCCCAUGGCCAGGUGCCAGCUCCCCUGCUAUGUUCUCAGUGCCAGAUAUUCUCAAAUAUUCCAGAAAAAAUCAUACUAAACUUUCAGGGCAUUUGGAGAACUUUUAUUUUCGGGUUAUUUUUUUAUUGCAUGGAUAAUUUAGAAAACAGACAGAAAAUACUAAUUUUGCUUUAUUUAAUCCAAAUAACAGAGAGUAAAAGGAGGGUGCAAAAGGUUGUGCCUUCUAAUUUCAUCCAUUUCAUGCUCAUCAAAAGGAAUCCACUAACAAGGUUGAUCAAGUGUUGUUAAGAUACUCAUUCCGAAUAACAUGGAACCGGAGAAAUUUCGAAUAACACUAGGUUACCUCAACGGGGAUAUGAACAUCCCCAACAAUAAGAAUAUCAUAUUUCUUCUUGACAGUAGGGAGAGGAAAUUCAAAACCUCCAAUAAUAAUAGUUGAAAUUUUUCCAAUAGAAUUGAUACUGUGAACUUGAUGUUGUUUCCUCGGAAAGUGUACCGUAUGCUCAUUACCAUUAACAUGAAAAGUGACAUUGCCUUUGUUGCAAUCAAUAACAGCCCCUGCAGUAUUAAAAAAAGGGUCUACCAAGGAUAAUCGACAUACUAUCGUCCUCGGGAAUGUCAAGAAUAACAAAGUCCGUUAAGAUAGUAACGUUUGCAACCACAACAGGCACAUCCUCACAAAUACCAACAGGUAUAGCAGUUUAUUUAUCAGCCAUUUGCAAAGAUAUUUCUGUAGGUGUCAACUUACUCAAUUCAAGUCUACGAUAUAAAGAGAGAGGCAUAACACUAACACCGGCUCCAAGAUCACCUAAAGCAGUUUUAACAUAGUUUCUUUUAAUGGAGCAUGGUAUAGUUGGUACUCCUGGAUCUCCAAGUUUCUUAGGUAUUCCACCCUUAAAAGUAUAAUUAGCAAGCAUGGUGGAAAUUUCAGCUUCCAAUAUCUUGAUUUUAUUUGUAAUAAUAUCUUUCAUGUACUUAGCAUAAGGAUUUACUUUAAGCAUAUCAUUUAAGCGCAUAUGUAAGAAGAUAGGUCUAAUCAUUUCAGCAAAGCGCUUAAAAUCCUCAUCAUCCUUUUUCUUGGAUGGCUUAGGAGGAAAAGGCAUGGGUUUCUGAACCCAUGGUUCUCUUUCUUUACCGUGCUUCCUAGCAACAAAGUCUCUCUUAUCAUAACAUUGAUUCUUUGAUUGUGGGUUAUCAAGAUCAACAACAGGUUCAAUCUCUACAUCAUUAUUAUUGCUAGGUUGAGCAUCAACAUGAACAUUAUUAGUAACAUUAUCACUAGGUUCAUGUUCAUCACCAGAUUGUGUUUCAACAUCAGAAAUAGAAAUAUCAUUGGGAUUCUCAGGUGUGUUUACAACAGGUUCACUAGAAGCAUGCAAAGUCCUAUCAUUUUUCUUUUUCUUCUUUUUAGAAGGACUAGGUGCAUCUACAUUAUUUCUCUGAGAAUCUUGCUCAAUUCUCUUAGGGUGGCCUUCAAGAUACAAAGGUUACUGGGUCAUUUUACCCAUUCUAGUAGCCACUCUAACAGCAAAAUCAUGUUUAUUAUUUAAUUCAUCGAGCAAAUCACUUUGAGCUUAAGUACUUGUUCUGCUUGAGUGGUAACCAUAGAAGCAUAUUUACUAAUGAGCUUAAGUUCACCUUUAACUCUAGCCAUAUAAUCACUCAAGUGUCCAAUCAUGUAAGCAUUACUCUUUAAUUCUCUACCAACAUAAGCAUUGCAAUUUUCUUGUCUAGCCAUAAAGUCAUCAAAUUCAUCCAAACAUUGGCUAGCAAACUUAGUAUACGGGAUUUCAACUUGAUCAUACCUAUAGAGAGAAUUUACCUUAACUACCUGUGUCGGGUUAUCAAGACCAUGUGUUUCUUCAAUAGGUGGUAAAUUAAGACCAUGUAUUUCUUCAACAGGAGGUAAAUUCUUAACAUCUUCAGCUUUAAUAUCUUUUUCUUUCAUAGAUUUCUUUGCCUCUUGCAUAUCUUCAGGACUGAGAAAUAGAACACCCCUCUUCUUCGGUGUUGGUUUAUGAGUUGGCUCAGGAAGUGUCCAAUUGUUUUCAUUAGUCAACAUAUUAUUCAAUAACAAUUCAGCUUGAUCGAUAGUUCUUUCCCUGAAAACACAACCAGCACAACUAUCCAAGUGGUCGUUGGAAGCAUCAGUUAGUCCAUUAUAAAAGAUAUCAAGUAUUUCCUUUUUCUUAAGAGAAUGAUCAGGCAAAGCAUUAAGUAAUCGGAGAAGCCUCCCCCAAGCUUGUGGGAGACUCUCUUCUUUAAUUUGCACAAAAUUAUAUAUUUCCCUCAAGGCAGCUUGUUUCUUCUGAGCAGGGAAAUAUUUAGCAGAGAAGUAAUAAAUCAUAUCCUGGGGACUACGCACACAACCAUGAUCAAGAGAAUUAAACCAAGUUUUAGCAUGACCCAUUAAUGAGAAUGGAAAUAUCUUAAGGAUAUAAUAGUAGCAAGAUUUCUCAUCAUUAGUGAACAGGGUGGCUAUAUCAUUUAACUUAGUAAGAUGUGCCACAACGGUUUCAGAUUCAUAGCCAUAAAAGGAUCAGAUUCAACCAAAGUAAUUAUCUCAGGAUCGACAGAGAAAUCAUAAUCCUUAUCAGUAACAAAGAUAGGUGCAGUAGCAAAAGCAGGGUCAUAUUUCAUUCUAGCAUUCAGAGUUUUCUGUUUCAAUUUAGCUAAUAACUUCAGAUCUAUCAUUGCAAGAAAGAAAAUCUCUAGCAGUUUCUUCAUCCAUAACAUAACCCUCAGGAACAACAGGUAAUUCAUAUUUAGGGGGAGAACCUUCAUCAUCACUAUCUUCAAUAAUAUCAGUUUCAAGAAUUUCAUUCUCUCUAACCCUAGCAAGUUGUUCAUCAAGAAAUUCACCUAAUGAGACAAUAGUAUCAAGCAUAGAAGUAGUUUCAUCAUAAGUAUCAUGCAUAGUAGAAGUGUCAUCAUCAAUAACAUGUGAUAUAUCAGAAUUAAUAGCAGAAGCGGGUUUAGGUGUCGCAAGCUUACUCAUAACAGAAGGAGAAUCUAGUGCAGAGCUAGAUGGCAGUUCCUUACCUCCCCUUGUAGUUGAGGGAUAAAUCUUAGUUCUUUCGUCUUUCAAGUUCCUCAUAGUGAUUAGAAGAUAUAAAUCCCAAGUGGCUCAAAGAAUAGAGCUAUGCUCCCCAGCAACGGUGCCAGAAAAUAGUCUUGAUAACCCACAAGUAUAGGGGAUCGCAACAGUUUUCGAGGGUAGAGUAUUCAACCCAAAUUUAUUGAUUUGACACAAGGGGAGCCAAAGAAUAUUCUCAAGUAUUAGUAGUUGAGUUGUCAAUUUAACCACACCUGGAUAACUUAGUAUCUGUAGCAAAGUAUUUAGUAGCAAAGUAGUAUGGAAGUAACGGUAACAGUGGCAAAAGUAACAGUAGCAAUUUUGUAGUAAUUGUAACAGCAGCAAUGGUAAAGUAUAUAAGUGAAGCACAAUAUGUGAAAAGCUCGUAAGCAUUGGAUCAGUGAUCGUUAAUUUUGACGGAUGCGGUUCAUCAUGUAACAGUUAUAACAUAGGGUGACACAGAACUAGCUCCAGUUCAUCAAUGUAAUGUAGGCGUGUAUUCCAAAUAUAGUCAUACAUGCUUAUGGAAAAGAACUUGCAUGACAUCUUUUGUCCUACCCUCCCGUGGCAGCGGGGUCCUAAUGGAAACUAAGGGAUAUUAAGGACUCCUUUUAAUAGAGUACCGGACCAAAACAUUAACACUUAGUGAAUACAUGAACUCCUCAAACUACGGUCAUCACCGAGAAGUAUCUCGAUUAUUGUCACUUCGGGGUUGUCGGAUCAUAACACAUAAUAGGUGACUAUAGACUUGCAAGAUAGGAUCAAGAACUCACAUAUAUUCAUGAAAACAUAAAAGGUUCAGAUCUGAAAUCAUGGCUGUCGGUGUCAAAACCGGCGGAUCUCGGGUAGGGGGUCCCGAACUGUGCGUCUAGGCGGAUGGUAACAGGAGACAAGGGACACGAUGUUUUUACCCAGGUUCGGGCCCUCUCGAUGGAGGUAAAACCCUACUCCUGCUUGAUUGAUAUUGAUGAUAUGGGUAGUACAAGAGUGGAUCUACCACGAGAUCAAGGAGGCUAAACCCUAGAAGCUAGCCUAUGGUAUGAUUGAUGUAAUGGUUGUUGUGUCCUACGGACUAAAACCCUCCGGUUUAUAUAGACACCGGAGAGGGCUAGGGUUACACAGAGUCGGUUACAAUGGUAGGAGAUCUACAUAUCCGUAUCGCCAAGCUUGCCUUCCACGCCAAGGAAAGUCCCAUACGGACACGGGACGAAGUCUUCAAUCUUGUAUCUUCAUAUUCUUGGAGUCCGGCGGACGAUGAUAGUCUGGCUGUCCGGACACCCCCUAGUCCAGGACUCCCUCAGUAGCCCCUGAACCUGGCUUCAAUGACGAUGAGUCCGGCGCGCAUAAUGUUCGGCAUUGCAAGGCGGGUUCCUCCUUCGAAUAAUCCAUAGAAGAUUGUGAACACCAGGAUAGUGUCCGGCUCUGCAAAAUAAAUUCCACAUUCCAUCGUAGAGAGAAUAAUAUGUACACAAGUUCAAUCUGCCGACGUAUUCUGUGGUAUGACGUCACACCACUACCAAGCCUUUACUUGAAUCGUUUUUUAUUAUACGACCUUAGCGCGUUUAGCGAAGCGGUUUCCUUGGCACGUCUUGUCGAAGCAGAGAUCGUGUUCCCCUUAUUCCGGGAUUCUCAUCAAUACAGACGUGGGUAACCCAACCGCGCCCGUCGCCACGCCUCCUCUAUCGAAGGCGAGUCCCGAACGGUCACGGAGGCGGGUCUUGGUAUUCUCCCUCUUUAUAAUAGGACCAAGGCUCAUUUCUUUUCUUCGACCUUCCAUCGAACCCUCUCCUUGAUCCAAGUUCCAACACCCAGAGCCCCAGAUUCGAGCGCUUCGGACCUUCAACAAUGUCCGGCUCCGACCUUCAGGGCCGGUGGAUGCCUUCCUCCAUCACGGAGGAGGACGUGCAAAAGCUGCGAGAGGCCAAGUACCUGUCUUAUGAAAUUUCGCACAGGUUGCCCGCCGAAGGGCAGGCCAUCCCCACCCCCGAGCCCGGCGAGUAUGUCGUCUUUGUAUCCCACCUCUGUCGGGGUUUAGGCUUCCCGACGGAUCCUUUUGUGAGAGGGCUCAUGUUCUACUAUGGGUUGGAAUUCCAUGACUUGGCCCCGGAGUCCAUCCUCCACAUUUCCGCAUUUAUUGUCGUCUGCGAAGCCUUCCUCCGCGUCACCCCCACUUCGGCCUGUGGCUGAAGACCUUCAAUGUGGAGCCGAAGAUGAUCGAGGGGCAUCAAGCAGAGUGCGGCGGGGCGGACGUAAGCAGGAGGGCCAAUGCCCCGUGGCCCGAGGGCUCCUUCCAAGAGAAGCUCGGCUUGUGGCAGCGGGAGUGGUUCUAUAUCACCGCUCCGAAGGGCAGCAGGCAGAAGCCGCCGCCCUUAUUCCGCUCGGGACCUCCACGACGGUUGAUGUCGUGGGUCAACCAAGGGCUCAACUGGGGGCCGCCAAAGGACGUGCCCCUUCUGCAGGGCCGGAUUCGAGACCUCCAAGCGAGGGAGAUCGAUCUGGUAGUGGUAAUGCAGGUCAUGCUGAUUAGGCGUCUUCUGCCCUGCAAACGCCGCCCUCUCCGGCUGUGGGAGUUUAAUCCGGAGGGAUCACGGAUUCUUCAACACUUCAUGGGUAUGACACCUGUGGAGAUGUACAAAUUAUUCUUCGGACCACAAGUGGCGUGUCCGGAAUUGACCGAGGACGCCGGCCUGAGCUGCAAUCACCCGGAUACACAAGUAAGUAGCUCCGAGUCCGGACAUACCGUUUGUUUGCCUUUCCAUGAUUCGCCUUUUGACCGAUGUCCUUCUAAACAGGAGUGGAUAGCGCAAGCAAAACUGAUACGGUGUCCGGGCCCCCUCCCAGAGACCGUGUCGGAUCCUAUGCUGGUCAGGAUGUUGGAGGUCACGCCUUUAGAAGAAGGCGAAGGGGAAAAUAGGGGAGCUACCGCCUCUCCCAAGGAGGCUCUUGAAGAAGGGGGGAUCGAGAAUCCCUCCCUCUAGAGGGAGAAGAGGACCGCCUCCGAAGAUCCGGAGGCCAAAGCCCCUAAGCGGGGGAAGAAAUCUUCGCCAGAGGGUCCCGCGUCCGGGGAGGUCCCGGCCGCACAGUCUCCCCUAAAGGAUCAGCCCUCCAGCGAGCCGUAAGUAGAAAAAAGGGAGUUUAGUAAUAAGAGACAUCCCUAUUUGUGCUUUUGAGGAUAACCGAAUCUUUUACCUUGUAGUUCGGAUCUCCGACCUUCUCAGAUGAGCUCGUCUUCGGGGGACCUUCGUUCGGAGAUGGUGGAGAGCGAGACGCCUCCGUCUGCUGCGCCGUCGGAUAGGGCGGACAAGCCUGAAGUGUCAUCACGGAGGGUAUCCCCGAGCCCGGCGGAGCCGAAGAAUUCGGCGCCGAUUGGUGUUCGGCCGGGGGAGCUGAAGGAUCUGCUUGAGAGGGCGUCCAUCUCAGAAGGUCACCAUGCAUUGAUGAAUAUGGUGAUUGGAAGGAUUUCGUCCGCCGAAAGCGGAUUGCAUAAUGCUGUCAGGACUUUGCUGGCGGGGUUUGAGGUACGUAAGAAUGACACACCUUUUGACAGUUUUGCACAUGGAAGUGCGCCCUGUAUAGAUAGUAGCCCUUGAGACUCGGUAGGUUGUCGAAAGCGACAGCGUGCCGAGGAUCAAAAUCGUAGGUUUCAAUCUUCGUCGUUCCUAUGCAGGUGGCGGAUCGUCCGGGGGCCAGCCGGACUGAUGGAGUUGCUGAGCUAAAGCGGCAACUCGACGUUGCGGAUGCGGACAUCACGCUAAUCAACAGGCGACUUGACGAAUCGCAAGGUAAGUUUUUUCUCCGCAGUGACCUAGUAAGGGAGCCAAAGCCCAUCUCUUAUAAUAUUUGUGCUUGACGUAGAUGGUGCUGCUGCUGUGGAGAGCCUUCGGGCCGAACUUGCUCAGGCCAAGGAGCAAGCCAAAAGGAGUAAUGCGGCGGCCUUGAGGGCGGCCGAGGAGUUAGAAGCCGAAAGGGCUGUGCACUGCCGAAGCAGGGAGGUUGUGCCGAAAUGUCCGUGAAGUUAAAAGAUGCUACCGACCGCACUGAGGCUCUUGAAAAGGAGCGCCUGUCGGAGCGAGAAGACCCGGGGAAGGCCACCGCCGAAGCCAAGGACGCCCGAUCUGCAAUGCGGGCUAUAAAGGAGGAGCUGCGCCAAGCCGGAGACAUUGUGGCUGGCAAGCCCUUUCUGCUGCGCCGAAGGUUUACGGAUCCUAAGUAUGCUCAACUUGGCCAGCUGUGGGGUCCGGAGGAUCCUUAUAUGGACUUAGCGGCAAGUGCGGCGGAUGCCGUCGUGCACUUCCGGAACCAGAAGGAUCACAAGACGGAAGAGCUGUUUUGGUCUCAAUUCCAUAGUCCAGAUCAUUCACUUCCGCUGACCGAUCGGUUGGCCGAAUGGCUGAGCUGAAUAGGUUGUCCGGGCUUGCCAUGACGGAUAUCGUGACUCAUGUCUGGCCGGAUAGGCCCAAGUCGAAGAGCUACUUUGGCUUAUUGUAGCAAUUUCUUGGGGCGGUGCCGCAUAUCAAGGCGAUGAAGCGGUCGGCCUGCAUAGAGGGUGCACGGAUGGCACUCGCCCGUGUGAAGACACAUUGGACGGAGAUGGAUGUCGCCGCUAUUGCGACCCAGGGUUCGGACAGGAGCCAGUUACCCGCCGAGCACUAUUUUGGGGAAGUUCUGCGUGGUCCUCGUAUAAUAGAGUCGCAGUGCUCAAAAAAUGUUACGUUCAAAUGAACGUUUUAUUUUGUAAAACAAUGUUUAUGAUGUAGGCGCUUUUUAAACUUGUGCGUUCAAGUAUUGAAAUAUCUCCUAUGCGGCCGUUUAUGUAUACGUGUGUAUAACCUGAAAGAUUGUAGUCGUCGGCUUCAGCCCCCACGCACAAGGUGCGGGGGUGUUCGCAAAAAAGGCGCAUUUUCACACUUAACCCGACGUCUCGGUCCUGUUAAGGAGGUGGUAGGGUAGCAAACGAGGCAACCGGACUAUAAUGCUUUAUCACUUUCACUUAGCCAUUGGAGUUCGACGGUGGGGCUACGAUAUAGCCCCUGGGGGCACCACGUUCUCCGAAUUCGGGGCGCGUUUGUGCCUGACCGGGAAACGGUCCUUCGUUAAAGCGGAGGAAUUCUAAACAUUCCAGUGGUCGAUCGAGUGGUUGACCAGUCUCUCGCUGUAUCAUGACAGUCAGUUUUCGGCUUUCUUUACUGAGGUGCUCGCCCAGCCGAACUGGGGCACAAUCGUAGUAGUUCUCCUGGUGCCGUGUUAGCCGAUAAUACGGAACGUAAGGCAGAAAAACACAGGAGCUGGGCAAACCCAACAUUUGACCAAAGACAUGAUUCGGAGCUGAUGCAUAUAAGGCCUAACUCGAGACGCCGAACACUCCCUAAGGUGUUCGGUCUUUACAAUAACGGGCUGAACAAUGCCCUAAGCCCCUAGUGUCCAGGUACGGGCAAGGUCCUCUGAAGCGGCCGAUGCCAAAACGUCAGUCUCCUCUCUGGUUAUCAUGAAAAACCAGGGGAUUAUAGCAACAAGAGACAGUAAAAAAGGUUUACGCAGGGUCUUAAUCUAAAAAGAAUCCUUGCAACGGGUCCCUACUGCACGUCUGCGCCUGUGUCUCCGUUGUGCCGUUAUCCUGGACGGGUGUGCACGGUGUUCAUCUGUAAAAAAGAGAGGAACUUAGUUUGAAAAGAAAUCAUGCGAAAAGUGCAUAAAAAUUAAAAUAUUAAUAAAUUAAUAAAGCUAAGCCUAUAUUAGCUCAUUGUUGUUUAUAUGCCCAGCCCCUUGUGAAGGGGUGUGCGGAUGGGGAGCCCCUAGCUUAUUUAUGCCGGACUCGUCUAGCCGUGUCCGGGGUCUUUGAAUGACCCUCUUAAUGAAAUGAUGCCACGUGGACCGGGCAUUUUAAGUGUAAGAGACGCGUAAUGUGGUAUUGCAUUAAAGCGGACAAAAGCUUCACGUCCCAAUAGUGCUUGAUAGCUACUUUUAAAUGGGGCGACGUGAAAGAUUAGCGUUUCACGUCGGAAGUUGUCCGAUGACCCAAACACGACUUCCAGUAGUAAGGAGCCUGUGCACUUGGCGUAAGGGCCUGGCGUCACUCCUUUAAAGGAAGUGUGGCUAUGUCGAAUUUACUAAGGUCCAUCCCCAACCUGCGGAUUGUGUUCGGAUAUAGCAGGUUUAAAUCGCUGCCGCCGUCCAUCAGGACUUUUGUAAAUUGUAGUCCAUCGAUUAUGGGAUCCAAUAUCAGAGCAGUCCAUCCUACAUUUCGGAUGCUUCUGGAAUAAUCCAGGUGGUCGAAAGUGAUUGGUUUUGACAUCCAACUUUGGGGUUCCGCUGGGGUGGACCGUGCAGCACUUAUUUUAGCGGGUGCCGCAUUGUUUUUUCGUGAUAUCACAUGAAGUGAGUUUACUGUUUUGGCCUCUUGCGGGAAAGUCUUUUAUUUUCCGGUGCUCUGCUGGUGGGGUUCGUCAUCGUCCUCGCUUGGCGCGUCGAGCCCCUUGUGUUUGGCAUUGAGUCUGCCGGACUGUUUAAAAACCCAACAAUCUCGGUGUGUGUGGUUCGCAGGCCUUCCGGAGGUACUGUGGAUUUGACAUAUCCGAUCCAAAAUUUUGUUUAAGUUGGAUAGCUCAUCACUGUUGUCCUUAAGAGGCAGUGUUUUAUUGUUUGGCCGCGAGCUUUUGAAUCCGGCGUUGACCGCCGUAUUCUUAUUCCAGCGCUGAUCCUUUCUGCGCCGUGAUUUUCCGUUUCCAUCUCUGAUCUCGGAUGUACUCGGGUCGCUGGUGCUGCAUCUUGCUAGCCAGCUGUCCUCCCCUGCGCAAAAGCGGGUCAUGAGGCUUGUUAGCGCGGCCAUUGUCCUUGGCUUCUCUUGGCCGAGGUGUCUGGCGAGCCAUUCGUCACGGACGUUGUGUUUAAAAGCUGCUAAGGCUUCCGCGUCCGGACAGUCGACUAUUUGGUUCUUUUUGGUAAGGAACCUGUUCCAGAAUUUGCGCGCUGACUCUCCGGGCUGUUGAGUUAUAUGGCUUAGAUCGUCUGCAUCCGGAGGGCGGACAUAAGUCCCUUGAAAAUUUGCUCUAAACGCGUCCUCGAGCUCUCCCCAACUUCCAACAGUGUUUUCUGGGAGGCUUUUGAGCCAAUGCCGAGCUGGCCCUUUGAGCUUGAGGGGUAGAUAUUUUAUGGCGUGGAGAUCAUCUCCUCUAGCCAUGUGUAUGUGUAGUAUGUAAUCCUCUAUCCAGACUCCAGGGUCUGUUGUUCCGUCGUAUGCCUCUAUGUUUAUGGGCUUGAACCCUGCUGAAAAUUCAUGAUCCAGCACCUCAUCGGUGAAACAUAGUGGGUGUGCGGCGCCCCUGUAUUUGGGUGUGCCGCUGUCUUCGAACACUUGGCGUGUUGUGUUGCUUCCUCUGGCCCUCUUUUUUGGCCCGUAAACGGACCUGGCUGGGCCAUCUGUUCUCCCAGGGUGAUGAGUCGGCUUGAGUGCGGCGCCGCUUGUCGCUUUUGGCCUGUCAUCUGGUCGUCUAUCCGGCUAGGCGGCUUCUUUAUUUUUUGACUGUGGUGGCUCUAUGGCUUCCUCGUCAAAUUCUGGCAGCAGCUUGCGCUUCGGGUAGCUCUUUGAUUGAUGGCCAUUGCCAUAUUUGUCUGCGGUCUUGAGUACUUUGCUCCACCUAAUUCUGAGUAUGUCUUCCGCUGUUUUGAGCUUCCGUUUUUCCUUCUUCAAGCUUCUUGCGGUGGCGACGAGUCUUUUGUGAAGGUUCCUAUGCUCCGGCGGUGUGUCCGGCGUGAGGUCGUCCGGAUUGUUGGUUUCGCCGGGAAUGGAUUGAUUAUCCGAUUCGUCUUGUUCGGACGAUUGCUUCGUUGCAUGUUCGUCGUCCAUUGGUUUGCCCUGCUCUAUUGCUAGGUCAUUAGGAAUGCUUUUUUUUUGUCGAGGCGGGGCUUAGGGCGGCGCUUGCGUCGCCGUUUUGGUUGUUUAUCGGCGGGAUUAUCCUUUGCCGCGCCCCGUUGUUCCUCGUUAUCGCUUCCUUUUGGGGUAUCCACCAUAUAUACGUCAUGUGUUGGGGUGGUCUUCCAGUGCCCUGUGGGCGCUGGUUCUUGAUCGUCUCCGGCAUCGUCGUCCAUACCGCCGAUGUCCUCGGAGUCGUAGUCUAGCAUGUCGGUUAGAUCGUCGAUAGUGGCUACAAAGUGGGUGGUGGGUGGGCUUUGAAUUUCUUCGUCGACCGCAUCCCAAUCAUCCUGGCCAUAGUCCGGCCAGGGCUCUCCGGAUAAAGAGAGAUGCUUUAGCGAAUCUAGGAUAUCGCCAAAGGGUGAGUGCUGAAAGAUGUCCGCGGCGGUGAACUCCAUGAUCGGCGCCCAAUCGGAUUCGAUUGGCAGGGGAGCAGGAGGUUCGGAGUCUGGCAGCGAGUCCGGCACCUCGGAGUCACAGGCUCUAUAAGGGACAAGGUCAGUGUUCGGCUCUAUCACCGUGGAAGUUGCAGCCCCCGAGGCGGUGUCCAGCCACCGGUCCUUGAUCUGCGUGAUCGGCUCCAAACUAAGGGCCGGAGCGGAUUCGUGUGCGGCCACCAAGGCACUGUCCGGCGGCAGAGCUAAAUCAUGCCCAUCGUGACAGCGCGGCACGCUCGGCUGUGGCUCGAAUCUGUCGAAGAUAAAGUCCCCGCGAAUGUCGGCCGUGAAGUUUAGGCUUCCAAACCUGACCUGAUGGCUAGGGGCGUAGCUUUCGAUCUGCUCCAGAUGGCCAAGUGAAUUGGCCCGCAGUGCGAAGCCGCCGAAUACGAAGAUUUGUUCGGGGAGAAAAGUCUCACCCUGGACGGCGUUGUUGUUGAUUGAAGAAGCCAUCGAGCCUGUCGGUGACGACACAGAGGAACUCUCAAUAAAGCAACAAUGUCGGUGUCAAAACCGGCGGAUCUCGGGUAGGGGGUCCCGAACUGUGCGUCUAGGCGGAUGGUAACAGGAGACAAGGGACACGAUGUUUUUACCCAGGUUCGGGCCCUCUCGAUGGAGGUAAAACCCUACUCCUGCAUGAUUGAUAUUGAUGAUAUGGGUAGUACAAGAGUGGAUCUACCACGAGAUCAAGGAGGCUAAACCCUAGAAGCUAGCCUAUGGUAUGAUUGAUGUAAUGGUUGUUGUGUCCUACGGACUAAAACCCUCCGGUUUAUAUAGACAUCGGAGAGGGCUAGGGUUACACAGAGUCGGUUACAAUGGUAGGAGAUCUACAUAUCCGUAUCGCCAAGCUUGCGUUCCACGCCAAGGAAAGUCCCAUCCGGACAUGGGACAAAGUCUUCAAUCUUGUAUCUUCAUAGUCUUGGAGUCCGGCGGACGAUGAUAGUCUGGAUGUCCGGACACCCCCUAGUCCAGGACUCCCUCAAUGGCACUCGGGACCUAGUGACAAGCAUUAAGCACAGCAAAGUCAUAGCAACAUCAAUCUCAGAACAUAGUGGAUACUAGGGAUCAAACCCUAACGAAACUAACUCGAUUACAUGGUAAAUCUCAUCCAACCCAUCACCGUCCAACAAGCCUACGAUGGAAUUACUCACGCACGGAGGUGAGCAUCAUGAAAUUGGUGAUGGAGGAUGGUUGAUGAUGACGACGGCGAUGAAUCCCCCUCUCCGGAGCCCCGAGCGGACUCCAGAUCAGCCCUCCCGAGAGAGAUUAGGGCUUGGUGGCGGCUUUGUAUCGUAAAACGCGAUGAAACUUUCUCUGUCAUUUUUUCUCUGCGAAAGCAAAUAUAUGGAGUUGGAGUUGAGGUCGGUGGAAGUACAGGGUGCCCACAAGGCAGGGGGCGCUCCCUAGGGGGGGCGCCCCCCACCCUGGUGGACAGUGUGUGGCCCCUCUGACAUUGAUACUUUCACCAGUAUUUUUUAUUAAUCCUGAAAAGUUGCUCCGUGGAUUUUAAGGUCUUUCCGAGAACUUAUAUUUCUGCACAAAAAUAACACCAUGGCAGUUCUGCUGAAAACAGUGUCAGUCCGGGUUAGUUCCAUUCAAAUCAUGCAAGUUAGAGUCCAAAACAAGGGCAAAAGUGUUUGGAAAAGUAGAUAUGACGGAGACGUAUCAUGGAUCGGGAUCUCUGGGAAAGGGGGCGUUUCACAGGCGUCAUCUAAGAAACUCAGGGCGGCGAGGGUAUGUAUAUCGUGGGUAAACUGCAAGGGCAGAUGGGCAGAGGUUGAAGAUGGAGGCGGCGCGGCGGCGGCGAUGGCGACCUAGCUUGGUUUGGAGCGAGGGAGGGGUGGUGUGUAUGUGUGUGAGUAGGGGAUUUGGGGUGUGUGUGUGUGUGUGUGUGUGUGUGUGUGUGGAGGGGGUACAAGCACUACAAAAGAAAGACACAUCCGUGACAUUUUGGGCCGAACGAUUUUUUCUGUCAUGCUUAUGAUACUUCUAUGACAAAUAAUCAUGAUAGAAAAUGGGCUUUUCGUCCUGGGCGGGCCGGAGACGCAGCUGCAUGACAUUCUUUGGGCAUGCAUGACGGAAAAAACCGUGUUAGAAGCGAGGGAGAGGAAAAUAUUGGGGAGUUCCCGGUUAUGGUGGGUGGUCGGGGGCCGAGCGAUGCACGUUUCUCUCAUACACGUACGGGUGUGAGUGCGAGGUGUUGGGAUCUAACUGAAACCGAGCGAUUGCACUGCAGGCUACGCGUUACUGAACCUGAGCGAUCGAUUGAUGGCUGUUAACUGAACGCGAUCGAGCGAUUCCUUCGCUACUGCUACUAACUGAAGCCGAUCGAUGCUGCCUCUGGAUGAAUAGUGAGCCUUGCUGGGGGGGGGUGGAUGAACAGUUCCCGGUGGGGAUUGGAUGAGUAGGACCCCGUGGUGUUGCCGCUGGAUCAACAAGACCCCGAUCGAGCCGAUUGGGGUGGAUGAACAGGACCCUGUGGAGGGCUGGAUGAACAGGACCCCGUGGAGGGCUGGUUGAAUAGUAGCCGGUGGAGGGAUGGAUGAAUAGUAGCCCGUGGAGGGGUGGUUCAAUAGGACCCCAUGGAGAGGGCUGGUUGAACAGUAGCCAGUGGAGGAGCGCGCAGUGGAGGCUGGAUGAAUAUGAGCCCGUGGAUGAACAGUCGCAGGUGGAGGCUGGAGGAGGUUGACGGUGGAUGAACAGUAGCCUGUGGAGGCUGGAGGAGGUCGAUGGUGAAGAUGAACAGUAUCCCAUGGAGUCCCAUUUUGCGGUAUGCCACACCCCUCCCGAUGAACAUGACCCUAUUUCGACCAUAGCGUUCCAACACAAGUCUGUUUCCUCCAUUUUGCGGUAUGCCACACCCCUCCCGAUCAACAAGACCCCGUUUUGACCGUAGGAGGUCGAAGAGAAGUCUAUUUCCUUCGUUUUGCGGUAUGCCAGACCCCUCCUUAUGAACAGGAUCCCGUUUCGACUGUGGCCGGUCGAACACAAGGCCGUUUCCUCCAUUCUGUGGUACGCCAGGCCUUGUUUCCAUCGGUUGUUCCAUCCAAGCCGGUUGGCUCCCUAUGAACAUGACGACGCAUUCCGUUCCGACCUAGCCGAUUGGCUCCCGAUGAACAAGACGAUGUUUCUCCGUUCCGACCUAGCCAGUUCGCUGCCCGAUGAACAGGACGUAGUUGCUGCCAUCCGUUGCCUCUCCAUGUACACAAGCCCUGACCAUCUAUAUAUAUGCGCUAGUACGUGCUUGAGACCCCGCCUGUAUGUACGUACGUAGCCGUAUUUUCUUUCUUACACUCUGGCUGCUGUACAUAUGUGUACAUGCUAUGUGCGCGCCUCUACUACGACACGUGUGCGCCCUACUACGACACGUGCCCUUCCUUACAGGGCAAUGGUUCAUCACUGCGGCCUGCAGACAGACUGAUCAUAUGUACAUACACGUUUGUGACCAGAAUGACAAUGCUACGCAUGCUUUGACCAGGUGGGUCCCGACUGUCAGGCACUUCCUUGCGUGCGAAGAUGUAGCUGGUGGGUUCCAACAGUCAGGGGGCGAAUCCUUUUUUUGCCCAUAAUAUGGACGACUUCCUUGCGUGCGAAGAUGUAGUUGGUAGGUCCCAGCAGUUAGGGGGGAACAUUUUUUUGCAAAAUAUGGUGGCCCGCCCGAUGGGUCCCUGCUGUUAGGUGGAGGAAUCAUUAUUUUCCGUGUAAUAAGGAGGCACUUCCUUGUGGCGGCCGUGGACCCAGUUGUCAGCCUCUCCACGUAUAGUACUCUUACGAUGGAAGUCGGUCAUUGACCACAUUGACCAUGCCGCGCCGAGAGCACCAAGGCGGUGGACAAUGGCGAGGCCUAGGAAAGGGACAACACGGAGCUGGGGAAGACGCGGCAGUGGAUGCCCACACAGAGAGGAGUACGAGGGUUCACUGGUUCGGCUGCGAUGUGAGGCUGUCACCGCCGUAGAAUAACAGGGGGUGUGGGUGAGUGGAGGGAUGGCCUGGCCAGCGGUGGGAGUAGUAGGGGCGGUGAGGCCUUCGCAACACUACAACCGACCACGGGAGGCAAGAGCAGGCGGCACGACCGGUGCUACUUUGGGCGGCUGGAGCAAGAAGACCAUAGGUUGAAGAAGCACUAUGGCCGUUGGAUGGACAUCAUACGGUCACUGGAGUAUUGACUAAGUUGACAAAGCCCUCCAUCCCCGACAACUUAGUAGGCCCACAAGUCAGCCACACACUAUGGUGGGUCCCAGCUAGCAGGGGUAUUCAUAUUUUUGUGCGUAAUAAGGAUGCACUUCCUUGCAUGCGAAGAUAUAGCUGGUGGGUCCGACCUAUCAGCGGGGGAACAUUUUUUUGCGAAAUACAGAGGCCCUUCUGAUGGGUCCCAGAUGUCAGCUGGAGGAAUCAUUAUUUUGCGUUUAAUAAGGAGGCAUUUCCUUGUGUGCGGCCGUUGACCCAACUGUCAGCCUCUCCACGUACAGUCCACGUCCGAUGGAAGUUGUUCCAUGACCAUGUUGACCACACCGCGCCAAGAGCACCAGAGUGAUGGACGACGGCGAGACCUAGGAAGGGUAUGACGCGGAGCCAGGGAAGACGCGGCAGUGGAUGCCCAAGGUGAGAGGAGUACGAGGGUUCACUGGUUCGGCUAUGGUGUGAGGCUGCCGUCGCCGCAGGGUCUGGCUAGCGGUGGGAGUAGGAGGGGGCGGUGAGGACUCAACGGCAGCACAGUCGGCCACUGGAGGCAGGAGCAGGCGGUCUCGCCGGCGCUGGUUUGGGUGGCCGGUGCAAGAAGAGCAACACUUGAAGAAGCAGCAGGACCGUUCAAUUCAAAUCCAACGGUUAUUGCUGCUAGAAUCAUUUGUUGACUAAGUUGACAAGCCUUGCGUACGUGUCAACUUACUAGGCCCAUAGGUCAGCCUCCCAACCGGUGCGCCCCAGAUGUCAGUGGGAGGAAUCAUUUUUUUCGUGUAAUAAGGAGGCAGUUGAUUGCAUGCGGCCAGGCCAGCGGAGGGAGUAUGAUGGGCCGGGGAAGCAUGCGCGGCAUCACAGCGGGCCACAAGAGGAGGGAGCAGGCAGUCCCGCUAGCGCUAGUUUAGGCGGCUUGAGCAGGAAGAUUAGAGAUUGAAGAAGCACGUCGGCCGUUGGAUGGACAUCCAAUAGUCACUGCUGCUAGAAUCAUGUGUUGACUGACAAAGCCUUGCGUAAACAAGUCAGCCUCGAAAUCUGUGGCGUGUACAUCCCAUUUGCUAUUAUUUUUAUAAUUUCUACUCAUUUUCUAAUUCAUAUGGAAUUUAUUGCAGCUCGUUUUCCGUUUCUAGAAUUGCUGCCCAUUUUCUGGUCAGUACCAGGGUUAAAAAAAUUAACUCAAUAUGUGUGAAAUUUUGAAAAUUCGCAAAUUUUUGCUGGGGAACAAAAUAUUCUUAAUCCAAAACUUAGUAGCCAUACUAAAACAAAUUUAAAAAUAAAUUAGUGCUAUGUCAUGUUAAAUCCAAUGAGAUACUAUAAAAUAUCAGUGAAGAACAAAAACAAAAAA